rnacentral:lncRNA from 1 species
CACUGGCUGAGGAGAACAUGCGUGGCAUCUGCUUUGAGGUCUGUGAUGUUGUUCUUCAUGCUGAUGCAAUUCACAGGGGUGGUGGCCAGGUCAUUCCAACUGCCAGGAGGGUUAUUUAUGCUUCUCAGCUCACUGCCAAGCCAAGGCUGCUCGAGCCAGUUUACCUUGUGGAGAUCCAGGCCCCAGAAAAUGCACUUGGUGGUAUCUAUGGUGUUCUGAACCAGAAGAGAGGGCACGUGUUUGAGGAGAUGCAGAGGCCUGGUACCCCGCUCUACAACAUCAAGGCUUACCUCCCUGUCAUCGAGUCCUUUGGGUUCUCCAGCCAACUGAGGGCUGCAACCUCUGGCCAGGCGUUCCCUCAGUGUGUGUUUGACCACUGGGACAUGAUGGGCUCUGAUCCUCUGGAGGCCGGCUCCCAGGCUGCUCAGCUGGUGUUGGAUAUCCGCAAGAGGAAGGGUCUCAAGGAGCAGAUGACCCCUCUUUCUGAGUUUGAGGACAAGCUCUAAAUUUUGGUGGUUUGUGCUGCUGUUACCCAUGCUGGUUUCAUGGCCAAUUCGUCUACUGUAACUGGAACUACUUUCAUGUUUCAUUUCCUUUAGUUGUCAGAUGCAUCUGUUUUUGAACAUCAUUGGCCAUAUGGCAUUGUGCUGCUAAGACUGUAUUUUGUUAUCCGGUUGUGAUGUAACAGAUGAAAUAGAGUUCAUAUCUGUGGUUUAAGUGGUAGUAUUUGCGGUAUAAUGCUUGUUUCUACUGCCUUCUGAAAGCCUUUCUUUUGCCUAACGGUAGAGCGGAUUAACUAAGGGUGUUGUAUCAUUUGAUUCAUUUGAUCCUUCAUCAAGGAUGAAGCCAUCUCCUCAUGGGAACACAUUAUUCUACUAUUAGAAGCGAAGAUGUAACAAAUUAGUUGAAAGAGGAGCGUUGAAAGAGGAGCGAACCAUACUUUACUAUAUGGUAAGUAGCAAAUUAGUUACAAGUAGCAAAUUAGUUGAACUUUAGGAUCAUGCACGUUGAACCUUGUUAUCUAGGAUCAUCCAUGGAUCAUGCACGUUGAACCUUGCUAACUAGGAUCAUGCACGUUGACCCUUGUUAUCUAGGAUCAUCCAUGGAUCAUACACGUUGAACUUUGCUAUCUAGGAUUAUCCAUGUAUGCAUCAUGUAGUGCAUCUGUGCAUGCAAUAUUCUGUUAUCUAGGAUCAUCCAUGGAUCAUACACGUUGAACUUUGCUAUCUAGGAUUAUCCAUGUAUACAUCAUGUAGUGCAUCUGUGCAUGCAAUAUUCUGCCCUUAGCUUGGUUUUACUGCCGAUAGCUAUAUAGUGCAUUUAAAUGCUUUUCUUUUGCCCACAGCCCCAGAGGUAGAGAGGACUAACUGUUUCUGUUGCUUUUUUUUUUUACGGUCUACGGGAGAGAGUGUGUGUGUGUGUUGGGGGUGGGAGCGCCCCCACCUGAUUUUCAUUUCAUUGAGGGUCUGUUUCAGGCCAAACGCUGUGUAGAUCAAAAGGAGAUAGAGAGAGGCAGUGUACAUCUGGUUUUGUGAUUGUUUUACAUCGAAGCAAAGACAGUGCACCAGGAGUCGGUUAUCACGCGAUCCUCUAUGCGAAACCGCUCGCGCCAAAGUCGGGCUUCGUCUCGGCAUGCCGACCAGAAGCGUUGUUGAGAUGGAGCGCAGCGCUGGAACACUGGGUCAUUCCGGUGCUUCCAUAACACCCACGGCAGAAGGAGUUUUUUCUUGCUUUGCCUUUAGCUUGGCUUUAAUCCUGUUAGCUAUGCCUAUGUAGAGCAUUUGGUCCUUCGAAUUUUAAAUCGAUGUUGAUUUUGAUUGCAUGCCGUCAUUUUGGGUUGGUUCCAACUAUGUUUUUAAUAUCAGUCGUUCUGAAGGUUACUCUGUUGACACUUGAUUGCAUAACCGUUUGCUAGUUUUGCGUGCAUCCGCGUGCUGGUUCGUCUCAUCAAGAACUAGCCGUUGCUCAAAACUCUGGCUUUCAGGCAUGGCCGCAACAGCCUGGAGGAUGUGUUGCUGUUCUGUAGCUGUAGUGUGCGUCUGUGCUAGUGGAUGCAGGGAGCCAGCGACCUAAAAGGAAUCGUGUAUUAGUGGAUGCAGGACAUCGGCCGUGGCGGCCUGGGGGAGACGACCACGCUCGACAUGAACGGCAGUAAGUUCAAUGGCACGAUCCCGGCGUCGCUUACCGGCCUAUGGAGCCUCCAGUAUCUAGAUGUGAGCGGCAACCGCUUCACCGGCACCAUCCCAGCGUUGCUAUCUGGACUCCGGAACCUCCAGCUUCUCGGCCUGAAUGACAACCUCUUCACCGGCACCAUCCCGGCGGACCUCGGCGAGCUGGCGAGCCUUCACAUGCUGUAUCUGGCAAACAACCAGUUCGAUGCAGGCCAGCUGCCGUCGUCGUUCAAGAACCUGACCAACCUGGUCAGCCUCUGGGCGUCGCAGUGCAACCUCGUCGGAGAGUUCCCGAACUUUCUUUGGAGCCUGAAGGAGCUGCAACUAUUGAAUCUGUACACGAACAACCUCACCGGCAACUUGGUGGUUGAUGGCCUUGUUGCGAGGAACUUGACAGUAAUCGACGUCUCGGAGAACAAGAUCACUGGAGUUAUCCCGAGUGUUUGGGAGCUUGGAGAACCUCAGAGACUUGAACUUCUUCAUGAACAACUUCUCCAGCGAGAUACCAGCCAGCAUCGGCCGGUUGCCCUCACUGACGAGGUUGAGGCUCCACACCAACAUGCUUAACGGCACGCUCCCACCGGAGCUCGGAAAGCAAUCGCCGGGCUUGAAUUAUGUUGAGGUUGAUUACAAUGAGCUCACCGCCGAGAUCCCGGAAGGGCUGUGCACUGGAGACAACCUCCAGCACCUCACCGCCAAGAGCAACCAAUUGAACGGCUCCAUCCCAGCAGGCCUUGCCAACUGCGCCACUCUUGGAACCCUGUCGCUGGACAACAACCAACUCUCUGGCGACGUACCAGAGGCUCUGUGGACGGCGACGAAGCUUUACCAGAGGCUCUUCCGGCCACGGUGCAUCUCAACCUUUCGACGAUACUCAUAGGGAACAACCAAUUUGGUGGCAACAUUCCGGCUGCACUAGCUGCGCUCCAGGUGUUCACCGCCGAGAACAACCGGUUUUCUGGUGCGAUACCGGCGAGUCUUGGCGACGGCAUGCCGCUGCUGCAAAGACUGAACUUAUCCGGUAACCAACUGUCCGACGGGAUCCCCAGAAGCGUUGCUAAGCUAAGCCAGCUGACGGAAAUGGACCUGAGCAGGAAUCAGCUCACCGGAGGCAUACCGGUAGAGCUCGGCGCCAUGCCGGUGUUAAGUGUCCUUAACCUGUCGUCGAACAAGCUCUCCGGCAACGUGCCGCAGGCGCUUGCGAAGCCGACACUCACCGCCCUAACCUGUCCUCGAACCAUCAGACCGGCCAGGUCCCGGCCGGGUUCGCCACCGCGGUCUACGACACCAGCUUCCUCAACAACCCCGGCCUCUGCACCGCCGCUUGGGGACCUGGCUACCUCACGGGCGUACGCUCCUGCGCCGGUGGAUCACAAGACGGCGGUUCCUCCGGAGGCGUGUCGCACGCCCUGCGCAGGGGAACCUCGCCGUGGCGUUCGCCUUCUUCGUCGUCCGCGACAUCAAGAAACGGCGGCGCGUCGCGGAGCAAGACAACUGGAAGAUCACGCCUUUCGUCAAAGAUCUGGGAUUCGGUGAGGCACCCAUACUCCGGGGGCUGACGGAGGAGAACCUCGUCGGGCGCGGGGGAUCGGGGCGCGUGUACCGCGUCGCCUACACCAACCGGCUUAACGGCCGAGCCGGCGCGGUGGCCGUAAAGCAAAUACGGACCGCCGGGAAGCUCGACCAGAAGCUGGAACGCGAAUUCGCGUCAGAGGCUGGCAUCAUCGGCAACCUCCGGCACAACAACAUCGUCAAGCUCUUGUGUUGCCGCUCCAGCGCCGAGUCCAAGCUCCUCGUGUACGACUAUGGACAACGGCAUCCUGGACAGGUGGCUCCACGGCGACGCCCUCGUCGCCGGCGGGCGCCCCAUGGCGAGGGCGCGGUCCGCGCGGCGCGAGCCGCUGGACUGGCCGGCGAGGCUCAGGGUGGCCGUCGACGCCGCGCAGGGGCUGUGCUACAUGCACCACGAGUACGAGCCGCCCAUCGUCCACCGCGACGUCAAGACGAGCAACAUCCUGCUGGACUCGGAGUUCCGGGCCAAGAUCGCCGACUUCGGGCUGGCCACAGGAUGCUGCUGCAGGCCGGGGCGCCGGAAACGAUGUCCGCCGUCGCUGGCUCGUUCGGCUACAUGGCUCCUGGUAAGGAUUCGAACUUGCUGCUUUCAGUGAAUUUCUGUCCCAUUUCUACAAAUGCCACGUGUUCUCGUGUUGCCGGACCUUAGAUUGGGCCUUUUGAUGCUUAUCUGCAGAGUGUGCUUACACCAAGAAGGUGAACGAGAAGGUAGACAGCUUCGGUGUCAUUCUCCUGGAGCUCACCACCGGAAAGGAGGCCAACAACGGCGGCGAGCACGGCUGCCUGGCGGACUGGGCACGGCGCCACUACCAAUCAGGAGGGAGCAUCGCCGACGCCACAGACAAGAGCAUCAGAUACGACGGGUACUCUGACGAGAUCCAGGUUGUCUUCAGGCUCGGCGUGCUCUGCACCGCCGAUAUGCCGUCGUCGCGGCCAACCAUGAACGACGUGCUGCAGAUCUUGGUCAAGUGCAGCGAGCAGACGUACCACAAGGGCAAGACGGAGCGUGGCCCAGAGUAUGAGGUGGCUCUUCUACCCAAACGCGGCAGUCGCCGGAAACAGCUUUCAAACGGCUCGGGGAUUUACAUCGAAGAGAAGAUGACAGCAUUGUCUGAAGAAAGGAACUGACCACUGCAUAUGCCAGUAAGCAGCUUGUGACAUCGUCAGUGAACUGCUUGCUAUAGUGAUACUUCACAUUUUAGCAGAGUACAGCGGAGAAUUAUGCCUCUAAUCUUUUUUUUUCUGAGGAGCUAAGUAUCUUUAUAUUAAAAAGAGAAUAUAAAUAGAAAAAAUCAGUCCAUUGGAAGCAACCACUCUAGCUCACCUAGGAGAAUAGAGAGAUUGCAUAAACAAGCGAAGAAAAAACCGUCACCAGACCUUGACCCUGCACGGCUGGACUAGGGACAUGCAUAGUAUAGAGCAGGGCUUGUGGUUAGCCAAACCGUUCUGUGUAUUGAUACUGCAAAUCUGUAUUAAAUCACACACACAUUAUACGUUCCGACAGAAGAACUAGCAAACAUUACGAUUAUACUCCCUCCGUUCUUAAAUAUAUAACGCUAUUGACUUUUUCAUUUGUUUGACUAUUCAUCUUUUCUACAAAUAUUUUUGCAAAUAGAUAAAUCUACGAGUUAAAUCUAAAGUACAUUUCACAAUAGUCAUAAUGAUACACAUUUUACUUUAGUUAACUAACUCAUUCAAUAGAUAUUGAUGGUCAAAGUUGGAGUAAAAAGCCAACAGCAUCAUAUAUUUAAGAAUGGAGGGAGUAAUUUAUUUCUGAAAUAAAGGCAGGAGAUGGAGCUCUGCUUAUCCAUUCAGAAAUUAGUACGAUUGAAUGAUUUUGUCUCCUUCCAGUUUUUAUUGUAAAACACAGAAUAUUACACGGAUAGGCACUGAUUGUUAUCCGGAAGAAAAUGAAUUUUUAUAUUUCAAAAGAAAAGGCCCAAUUUGCACCCUCUAGCUAGCACGAUAAUCCAAUUUUCAGCUAAACUGACCAUGGGCCGGCCCAAAGGCACAGGAAUUUGGCCCGGUCUAGGCAUGGCGGCCGUCGUGCUCGUGCUAACCCGACCCACACCAUGGGCCGUGCUUGGGCCGUUGCCUCAGCCCACGUACUGGUCCGGCACGGCCUGCCCAUUUGGCCCGUCGGGAUUAAGUGGGCGGCCCAUCCUAUUAAGGCCCACUCGACCGCAUAUAAAACCCCCCACCCCCAAACGGCCAAACCCUACCUUCCUCUUCGUGUCCCGCGCCCUUCGCCGCCGUCACCUCCCCCGCGCCCUUCGCCGCCUCUCGCGCCCGCCGGCCGCUCACGCCCUCCGCCGCUUCCCCCCGCCGCCUCCCUCACGCCCUCCGCCGCAUCCUCCCACCGCCUCCCUCGUGCCCUCCGCCACCUCCCGCGCCCGCCGGCCUCUCGCUCCCCUGCCACCUCCCCCGCGGCCCUCUGCCGCCUCCUACACCCGCCGGUCCCUUGCCGCAAUUGGGGAAGAUGGUGGCCUGCACGGCGGCGCGCGCAAACGUCCUGUCGUCCCUCGGCGGUGGGAGCUGCGGCACGAGUGGGCGCCUGGGCAGAUCCGGGAAAGGUCUAUGGGCGCCCUGACGACGAGGUGGUCGAAGUCAUCGGGGCUAUCGAACUCGACGACGACAGGCGCUACGGGCGUAUGAGCAGAGGAAGGGUGAAUUCUGUGCCGCAGGCUGGCACGAGCACGGUGAGGCCGUUAAGGCCUGCCAGGCCAGCGUGCCAGCACGGCCCACCUAAGAAGGCUGCGGGUCAUGCCUGGACCGCUCCUUCGGCACAUGGGCCGGCACGGCCUGGCACUAUUACCGUGCAAGCCUAACCGUGCCGGGCCUAACCGUGCCAGGCCAAAUCGUGCUCGUGCCAGGCCGGGUUGGGCUACCUGUUUGGCCAUCUAUACAUCCAACGGUUGAAACCAGAUAAAUUUUAUCCUUUAGCUGGUUUCAAAGAUGUUUUUUUGUUUUAUUAGACAUUUAAAAAAAAUCUGAUUUAAUCUUGUUGGGGGGAAAUAUUAACGAUCCCCUAAAUACCACUUAAAGGAGCAGACGCGAAGGCCCGGGCCCACCUAAGCAUAAUCAAAACUCCGCCUCGCCCGACCGCGGCCUCAGGGUCAGGAACGCCCGACCCCCCUCCACGAGGUUUCCGCCUCGUCCGACUGCGGCCCCAGGGUCGAAGGCGCCCGAUCCCUCGCCACAAGGUUCCGCCUCGUCCGACCCCAAGCGCAGGGGUCGGGCUCGCUGGGGCCCCCAGGGCAGGCAUCCCCCUCGGAUGUGGACCAGGUGGGCAAGAUAAACAAAUCUUGCGGGUCCCCCCCCCCAUCGGCCUCGUCAUAAAUGCGCUGCGGGCCUGGCAGAGGGAGGAAUGACCACGCUCCUCACACAACCCGCCGCAAGUACCCAUGCACGACCAUACUGUACAAGCUACAGCGCUGGCGGCUCACUCCCAUUCGCCGCAGGGUACUCAUGGCCUGCGCCGACCGGAGCGGAGGAGAGACUCGCCUGUCCUCGAGCCCCGCGCACCCUCGGGUCCCGUGCGCCUGGCAUCUAGGAUGUGACGCCCUCUCUCCAGGAGCCAUCAUCAGAAUGGCAGCAUCCACCGUCCUCCCCAACGGACACCGGGAUAACGACGAAACGCCCUCAUCAUAACCCGACGCCUACGGAUGCCGAAGGAGCUAUCUGUAGGGUGCAACGACAGUUGGCGCACGGCCGCCUCCCCCUCCGGCAUGCACGCCGGCGCUCGCCAGGAGCCGGCGGAGGCGUCGGGCGUCUAGGAACUUGUUCCUCCCAUCCUGCCGUAUUUUUUACCGUACUACGUUCACAUUUUACGGUCCUCUUCGCCCGAUCCCAACUGUAACUCUGGCCACUCCCCUUGCGAUAUAAAAGGAGGAACACAGGGCCGGAGGGGGGGAUCGGCUUCUUCCCCCUCAAGCCACAGCAUGCUAGUACGCUCCCUGAGAACAUAGGCUCAAAGAGACUUGGGACCAGUCCCUCUCUCGUCGGUCUGUAACCCCUACUACAGAACCCCGCGUGGGCAAUACGAGCAUCCACGAUACUGGACGUAGGGCUCCCUUUGCUCGAACCAGUCUAAUCCGUGUCUCCCACGCCACCAUCUGAGGCCUUACGCGCAUAAAAGAAAUUUACUAGUCUAAGUCUUGAUCCGCCAAUCUUGACAACGACAGUUGGCGCGCUAGGUAGGGGACCUUUGCGCAUACCCUCCCAGCCUCAGAUGGCCAAUUACGAUAGUAGCUUUGCUCCGGGCUCCCUGAUCCGAUUCGGGAGCCUGGACUUCCUCGCCACCGGGGAAGGGAUCAAGCUGAUCCCUGUCCUCAUCCUGCCCGCUCGCCCGCCUGCCCCCGGCCCCGCCGCCGGGACAGCGGUGAGCGGCCGCUCGCAUACCGGAAGGACCUCGCCAGGGGGACGGCCCUUCGGGCUACGCAAUGCCACGGGGGCCUACGGACGCCUCCUAGCGCGGUCCAUGACCGCGUCGCCCGCGAGCAACGAGCUCGUAGGUGCGACAAGGACGAUCUCCGACACCGGCUCCAGCAGCGGGAGCCCCCACCCCUCGCGUGAGUGCCUCGUGGUCGACGAGCACUCUGAGGGAUCCAACAGCAACGAUGCCGAGGAGAGACAAAGGGCUGCCCCUCGCGCGCCGCGGCUAUGACCGGAGCCUUACCAAGGGCACCAGAGUGCUCUCAGCAACGAGAGGCGCGCGCGGGCGCCCGCCAAGAAGUCGAGCACCCCCACCACGAGGGAGGAGCGCGACAACGGGCGCGAGACGUCCAGCGACGCAUCUGCGCGGAUGAAGAGCGUCCGCAGCUUUUCGCCCGCGCCAGCCAAAACGUCGCAGCCGCGGCGGUGUUGCUCCGACAGCUCCCCGAACCAGCGAUGCCCGAGGAGCGACGGGCACGCCAAGAGAUGCGCGACCUGCUCGAAUGCGCCGCCGUCCAGCAGGCGGAAAGCUCCGCGUCCCGGCGACGCGGGCAGAAUGCCAGCAGGGCGACGCCCGACGCGCCCCCGGAAAGGCGGGGGGAAUCAGUCCAUCUACCCCCUCCUGGGGCGAAUCAGGCCGCGUCCGCCCGACGGACUCCACCACCCGCGGGAGGCGAGGCUCGAUCCGUCCACCAGCGCGUCGGCCUCGUCCGCGACGCCCGCGACACCCUAAACGCGCGGAGACGCUCCCGCGCGGACAGGGAGGACGGGGUAGAUCGAGGCUACCACGUCCACCGUGGCGGGCGCUACGACAGCGGGGAAGACCGCAGCCUGAGCCCCGGUCCGGCUGGGCCCCGGGCCUUCUGUGCGCGCAUCCUGAACGCGCCUUUUCCGCCGCGCUUCAGGCAACCCAUGAGUAUAGCCAAAUACUCAGGGGAGACGAAUCCUGGAGUGUGGCUCAGCGAUUACCGGCUUGCAUGUCAAGCCGGCGGGGCGGAUGAUGACCUGUUUAUCAUCCGCAACCUACCCCUCUUCCUAGCCGACUCAACGCGAGCUUGGCUAGAACAUAUCCCUUCGGGACGAGUUCGCAACUGGAAUGACCUGAAGGAGGUUUUCAUAGGGAACUUCCAGGGCACGUACACACGCCCCGACAAUUCCUGGGACCUCCGGAGCUGUCGUCAGGGGGCGGACGAGUCCCUCCGAGAUUAUAGCCGGCGCUUCUCCAGGAAGCGCACCGAGCUCUCCAACGUCGCGGACGCCGAUGUCAUAGGAGCUUUCCUAGCAGGAACCUCCUGCCGGCCCCUCGUCCACGAGCUGGGGUGCCGAGGCCCGCGAACCACGGAGGAGCUCCUCAAUAUCGCCACUAGUUACGCCUCGGGCGAAGAGGCCGUUGGAGCAAUCUUCGACCGCUCCAAAGGCAAGGCGAAACGGGAGGAGGUUGCUGGCGAAGGCACCUCCAACCGCCAGCAGAAGAAGAAGGGCAAGUUACGGCGCGAGGCCCCCCUCGUGGCCGCAGCUGAGCGCAAGCGAGGGCCGCCGCCCCCCGAGGGCGCUCCCGGCUUCUUCGACAAGUUGCUUGAGGGACCGUGCCCGAACCACGAGUUCCCCGUGAAGCACGCCUACAAAGACUGCAACCUCAUGAAGAGAUACUUCAUGGGCAAUUCGGUGAAAGGCGACCGGAAGCGGAAGCCCGAUGAGGAAAAGAAGGGCGACGAAGAGAAGGAAGACGGCUUCCCCAAGGUGGACGGCUGCUUCAUGAUCUUCGGGGGCUCUGCGGCAUACGACACCAAGCGCCAGUAGAAGCUGGAGCGCCGGGAGGUCUACGCGGCCGAGCCAGCGACUCCGGCCUUCCUGGACUGGUCAGGGCCGGCCAUCACCUUCGACAGGACCGACCACCCUGGACGCGUCCGGCACCCGGGGCGUUACCCUCUCGUCGUCGACCCCAUCGUCGGCACGACGCGCCUCACCAAGGUGCUCAUGGACGGAGGCAGCAGCCUCAACAUCCUCUACGCCGAGACCCUCGACGCUAUGGGGAUCGACCGUUCCCGCCUCCAUCCCAGCAAGGCGCAUUUCCAUGGCGUCGUGCCAGGGAAGCAGGCGAUGCCUCUCGGGCAAAUCGACCUGCGCGUUACGUUCGGGACCCCUUCCAACUACAGGAAGGAGGUCCUCACAUUCGAGGUGGUGGGGUUCCGCGGAACCUACCACGCCAUCUUGGGACGGCCUUGCUACGCAAAGUUCAUGGCUAUCCCCAACUACACCUACCUCAAGCUCAAGCUGCCGGGGCCCAACGGGGUCAUCACCGUCGGCACGACCUUUCAGAAGGCGUACGAGUGCGACGUAGAGUGCUGCGAGUACGCCGCGGCCAUCACCGUCACGAGCGAUUCGGCAGUCCAGCUUGCGGAGGCCACCGAGGACCGGCCCGACUCCAGGCAGCCGAACAUCUCCUUCGAGCCCGCUGAAGGUAUCAAGGAGGUCCCCCUUGAUCCCGGUUGUUCCAACGGAGGAGUCGUGCGGAUCAGCGCGGCCCUAUCCCCCAAAUAGGAAAGCGCGCUCGUUGACUUCCUCCGCGCGAACAGCGACGUCUUCGCGUGGAAGCCAUCGGACAUGCCAGGCAUUCCGAGGGAAGUCGCCGAGCACUCCUUGAACAUCAGGGCCGGUUCCAAGCCAGUAAAGCAAGGAUUGCGCCGUUUCGACGAGGAAAGGCGCAAGGCCAUCGGCGAAGAGCUCCAGAAGCUUCUGGCGGCCGGGUUCAUCAAGGAAGUGCACCACCCCGAGUGGCUAGCUAAUCCUGUCCUUGUACCAAAAAAGAAUGGGAAAUGGAGGAUGUGUGUCGAUUAUAACGGUCUCAACAAAGCGUGUCCAAAGGACCCGUUUCCUUUGCCACGCAUAGAUCAAAUAGUCGACUCAACUGCCGGGUGCGAGACCCUCAGCUUCCUCGACGCAUAUUCCGGCUACCAUCAGAUCGCGAUGAAAGAGGCCGACCAGCUCGCUACCUCCUUCAUCACCCCCUUCGGUCCCUACUGCUACGUUAAGAUGCCAUUCGGCCUCAAAAACGUGGGGGCUACCUUCCAGCGAUGCAUGCUGUAGUGCUUCGGAGACCUCAUUGGGCGGACCGUUGAGGCCUACGUUGACGACAUCGUCGUAAAAUCCCGGAGGGGCGACCAGCUCGUUCCCGUCCUUGAACUAGCCUUCGAGAGGCUGAGGGAUAAGCGUAUUAAGCUCAAUCCCAAGAAAUGUGUGUUCGGAGUCCCAAGGGGCAUGCUGUUAGGCUUCAUCGUCUCCGUGCGCGUCAUCGAAGCAAACCCGGAGAAGAUAGCGGCCAUUAGAGACAUGGGGCCGAUCCGGAACAUAAAGGGAGUUCAGCGCAUCAUGGGAUGCUUGGCAGCUCUAAGCCGCUUCAUCUCGCGCCUCGGCGAGCGAGGGCUUCCUUUCUAUCGGCUCCUGAAGAAGACUGACCGUUUCGAAUGGACCAGCGAGGCCCAGGAGGCACUUGACCGACUCAAGGACCUCCUGACGAAGGCCCCGAUCCUAGUCCCGCCUACCGACGGCGAGUCCCUCCUGCUCUACGUCGCGGCGACCACCCAGGUGGUUAGCGCGGCCUUGGUGGUGGAACGAGAAGAGGAAGGACACGCUCUCAAGGUGCAACGCCCGGUGUAUUUCAUCAGCGAAGUCUUGUCCGAGUCCAAGACACGUUACCCGCAGAUCCAGAAGCUCGUCUACGCCAUCCUUAUCACAAAGAGGAAGCUGCGCCACUACUUCACCUCCCACCCGGUAACAGUCAUUUCGUCAUUCCCGUUAGGCGAAGUAAUCCGGAACCCAAAUGCUACAGGGAGAAUCGCGAAGUGGGCGCUUGAGCUCAUGGACCAGGGUAUCACCUACGUCCCCCGCACCGCCAUCAAGUCCUAGGCACUCGCCGACUUCGUGGCAGAGUGGACGGAGAUUCAAACGCCAUCGGCGCCAGAGAAGCAGGAGUAUUGGACAAUGUACUUCGACGGGUCACUGAUGAGGGCCCGCGCCGGAGCGGGUCUCGUUUUCGUCUCUCCCUUGGGCAUGCGCAUCAGGUACAUGAUCCACCUUCAUUUUCCUGCAUCUAAUAAUGUCGCCGAGUACGAAGCCCUCCUCAACGGACUCCGCAUCGCCAUCGAGCUGGGCAUCCGUCGGCUGGACAUCCGGGGCGAUUCCCAGUUGGUCGUCGAACAAGUCAUGAAGGAGUGGAGCUGCCACGACCCCAAAAUGGCAGCCUACUGCAACGAGGUCCGUAAGCUCGAAGACAAAUUCGACGAGCUAGAGCUCAACCACGUCGCAAGGCGCUUCAACGAAGCCGCCGACGAGCUGGCGAAGGCGGCAUCCGAAUGAAUGCUCGUCCCCGACGGCGUCUUCGUUAGCGACCAGUUGAAGCCCUCAAUCCGUUACCCAGAACUGCAGGGGUCGGCGAAGCACCCCCGGCCCUGGGAUCGGGACCCGAGUCAGGGGAGGUCGGCAGCGCGCCACCUGUCCGAGACCCGAGCACCAGCCCCGAGGGGGUCGACAACGCUUUGCCCAACUCGGCCCCGGGAGCCGAUCCGUCCGACCCCGGGGUCAUGGAAAUCACGGCAGAUUCCGCGGCGGGUGCCGACCCCCCGAUCGAUUGGAGAGCCCCAUACAUCGACUACCUCGUCCGCGACACGCUCCCGGCAGACAAAACGGAGGCCCGUAGGAUCGCGCGCCGCGCCAAAUCCUUCGCCAUCAUCGACCAGGAGCUCUACAAGAAAAGCCACACUGGAAUCCUCCAGCGCUGCAUCUCGAUCGAACAGGGAAAGGCGCUGAUCAAGGAUAUCCACGCCGGAGCCUGUGGUCACCACGCCGCGCCAAGGACCCUCGUUGGUAACGCCUUCCGACAAGGUUUUUACUGGCCGACCGCGGUCGCGGACGCUACCCAGGUAGUCCGCACCUGUGAAGGAUGCCAGUUCUUUGCCCGCCAGACUCACCUGCCCGCGCAGGCGUUGCAGACCAUCCCCAUCACGUGGCCAUUUGCGGUUUGGGGGCUAGAUCUCGUCGGACCCUUCAAGAAGGCACCCGGGGGCUUCACCCAUCUGCUCGUCGCCAUCGACAAGUUCUCCAAAUGGAUCGAGGCAAGACCGGUGGCGCAAAUCAGGUCCGAGCAGGUGGUCCAGUUCUUCACCGACAUCAUCCACCGCUUCGGGAUCCCGAAUUCCAUCAUCACCGACAACGGCACACAGUUCACUGGGAAGAGAUUCCUCCAGUUCUGCGACGACCACCACAUCCGAGUGGAUUGGGCGGCCGUGGCACACCCCCGCACGAACGGGAAAGUCGAGCGAGCCAAUGGCAUGAUACUCCAGGGUCUCAAGCCAUGGAUCUUCGACCGCCUUAAAAAAUUCGACGGACGGUGGGUUGCGGAGCUUCCCGCAGUCCUUUGGAGCCUGAGGACGACCCCCAGCCGGGCGACGGGCUUCACCCCGUUCUUCAUGAUCUACGGGUCAGAGGCCAUUUUGCCCACCGAUCUAGAGUACAGAUCGCCAAGGGUCAAGGCAUACGACGAACAGGGAAACCAGGCAUCAUUCGAGGACGCGCAAGAUCAACUCGAUGAAGCGCGAGACGUAGCUCUACUGCACUCGGCUAAGUACCAGCAGGCCCUACGGCGUUACCACAGCCGCAAGGUGCAAGGCUGAGCCUUCAACGUCGACGACUUGGUGCUCCGCCUCGUCCAAGACAACAGGGGUCGGCACAAGUUGACUCCCCCAUGGGAAGGCCCGUUCAUCGUCGUACAAGUUCUACGGCUGGGCACCUACAAGCUGGCAACUCCCGACGGGCAGGUUUUCAGCAACGCCUGGAACAUAGAACAGCUAAGGUGCUUUUACCCAUAGCUUUUAUUUCCAAGCCCUGCAUAAAACUUGUCUUCAAUUCCGAUAUUUCCUUUAAGCUCAGGGGUAUCCGACCCUGGCCUCGUUCCAGGGCCGCAUACCCCUCGGGGGCUACCAGUUUUGCUCCUCUGCGAAAAAAAAGAAACCCCGAGCCGUCUCGGUUCAGGCCUUUUCCUUUAAGCUCAGGGGUAUCCGACCCUAGCCUCGCUCCAGGAUCGCAUACCCCUCGGGGGCUAUCAGAGGUUCCGACCCCAGCCGCUCGGCCCUAUCUAAAAGAAACAUUUUUUCUUUUCAAACCGAACACUCCCUUUCUAGACCUUUGGGCGCAAAAAAGAGAAGGAUGCGCGAACGGUGCUCAGGCAAGUUUGAUCGGACUGCGAAAAAACCUACGCCCCAGCGGCUACGGCACCUUCGCUCAUCAAAACUUAAUGACGCACCCGACAACGCAUUCUAAACUUUCAAGCCCAAAGGAACAGCAAAGGGGAUCGGGAUCUUUCGCACAACGAAGUCAUAAACAAGCCUGUAUGGCCAUCACAAAAUAAGUUCGAAACUAACAUAAUUACAUUUUGGGCACAAGCCCGGUACAGUUAACUUGACGAGGGGUCGGCAGGAGGGAUGACCUCAUCUUCCAGGAGCUUCGCGAGGGCCUCCGCCGGCGCGGACACCGCUGCAUCAAUCCCGUCCAGCUCAGCUUCGGUGUAAUCAGCGGCGUACCCUUCACUCAUCCCGGCAAAGUUGAUGCCAGAAUAAUGGGAGCCGAAGACCCCGAAGGCUCGCCGCAUGCCGACGUGAAGCGCGUCCAUGGCGAUCUCGCGACGUCGACGGCGUACCCCAAGGACACGAGCCGGCAGAGAGCUCGACCCCUCCUCCGGAACUACGCCAAAGUCGUCACAGACGACGCGGACCGCAUCCCGCAAGGCGCCGUGCUCGCCGUGCUCCGCGUCGAGCAAACCCUUCAGCUUGGCGAUUUCGCCUGCAGGAACCACCCAGAAAAGCCCACCAAGUCAAGAACAGAACACAAAAUGUCACGGGAACGCGGGAACGGAAAAAAAAAGCCUCACCGUCGGCCCAGGCCUUCAACUCGCGCUCCCGGUCGGCUCCUUGAGACACGGCGGACUGGAGUCCCUGCACUUGCGAGCGAAGGCGACCAGUCUCCGCGCUAAGGGCUUCACGCUCCCCCCUCAGCUGUGCAAGCUCCCCGGCAUCACGACGGGCCCUCUCAGCGGCAGCUUGAAGCUCCUCGGCGUCGCGGCGGACCCUCUCAGCGACAGCUUGGAACUCCUCGUGGUCGAGGCGGGCUUUCUCGAUGACGGCUUGGAGCUUGGCCUCCGAUCACCGCGCCUCCUCCAACGCCGCCCCCUCACGCCUUUGCAGGUCCCGAAUGACCCCCUGGGCGGCAGUGACUUGCAGGGACAGGUCCCUGGUGCGCUCCCUCUCCGCGUUGAAGCGCUCCCAGAGACCCUGCUGCAGCCGAAGGAAAUCAGAUUUCCCCCGACUGCCCUCUUGGAGGGCCUGCAAAGCAACGUGCCAUUAGAAAAAAAAAAGCAAAAGGGAGGUGCUGAUCACCAACAGUAGGAGCAACAUACCUGGCUGCCAGGGAGGACGGUGUUACCCAGAACCCCCAACGCCGAAGACAGAGCCGCCUCAACGUGGGCAAGGCCGCCCUGCAUCGCCUGCCACUUGUGCCACUCAGUGGCGUCGUCCAGCGUGAAGAGAUGCCUCGGCGGGUCAUCGCGGGAUGACCAGCGAAGGACAGACCCCCUCCACGCCCUGGGAACGGAGGGAGCCGAGGCCGAGGCAGGGGCCGAUCCUGACGCUGCCGUCAAGGUCGGCACCAUUGCACUAGAAGCCGCCGAGUUUACUGACGGCCCCGGCACCUGCACGCUCGUCGCCGCCGAGGCCGCCGGCGGUAUCCCAGUGGGCCCCUCCGCCUCCGCCGCCGGAGCCACUCCCGCGGGGGUAAUUGGGGCGGAGGCCCCCGCCUCCGUCACCGUUGCCUCCGCCGCCGCGCUUUCGGGGGCAGGCGUUCCCUCCGCCACCGAUCCCGCCGCGGCUGCGGGGGCAUCCGCCCUACCUCCCGUCGCCGCCGUCUCCUCUGCCUCGUCGGCGUCGAAGUCGAUCACCUUCCCGGCCUGAGAACCCGGGGGGAUCGUGCCCUGCGCUGUAGGGGCGACUGGGGGGACCGAAGGCGGAGUAGGGUCCGCUCCCCCUCCCACGGCUGACACCGCCGUCGCUCCGCCGGCCGCCACCACAGGGGCCGCCUCCGCGGAGGGGUCCGCGGCCUCACCAGGGACCCCGCCGCUCGCCGCGGGCGGGACCGCGGUCCGCCCCCCAGAGGAGGUUGACAACCGCAACGCCUUCUUAGGCACCAGCUGCAGGGCAAGGCCACGAGGGGCGGCGCUGCAUAUCGACAAACAGACGUCAGCACAAACGAGCGUGAGAAGAGGAGAGGAACGAGGCGCAAGGAAGGCCAACUUACGUCCUUGAAGCACAAGGGCGGCGCGCGCGCUUCGACUCAGAGCCCGACGCCGACCCCGGGGCAUCUGGCAGCGGCCGCUUGUCGCCACUUCGCUGCUCUCCAGUCGCGGGCACGGCGGUGGAGGCAGUCUCUGCAGAUCUCCGAGGAGCACCCUGAGCGGACUCCUGGGGAGCGCCCCGCGCCGGCUCUGAAGUGGCGGCGGGGGCAGGCUCCGAGGACCCCCGAGGGGCGCUCCGCGCCAGCUUUGGGAAGGAGCCCCGUGUCGACCCCUGGGGGGCACCCUUCACCGACCCCUGGGGAGCGUCCCGCGCCCGCUCCUGGGAGGCACCCCGCGCCGGCCCCUGGGGGGCGUUCCGCGUCGACUCCUGGGGGGCGUCUCGUGCCGGCUCCGAAGCGGCGGCGGGGGCAGGCUCCGAAGACCCCCGAGGGGCGCUCCGUAUCGACCCCUGGGGGGCACCCCUUGCCGACCCCUGGGGAGCGUCCCGCGCUCGCUCUUGGGACACGCCCCGCGUCGGCCCCUGGGGGGCGUCCCGCGUCGUCUCCUGGGGACACGCUGUACUGGCCCCUGGGGCGCAGCCCCAGGGCCUGGUGGAGCCGAAGCCCGGGCGGGCGCCUCCUCCACUUCACCUCCCGCGGCCGUCCGCGGGGGUGCCUCACGAAUGGCGAGGGCGCCCGAUCGGAAGGAGGAAAUCAGCUCCUCCUCAUCAUCAUCUUCCUCAUCUUCAUCCUCUUCAUCAUCGUCGUCAUCAUCGUCGUCGUCGUCAUCGAACACGACCGACCCCCUCCGCCGCCGUUGGAACUCCUUAGCGGCCUUCUUCCUCUUCUUCGCCAUCUCGAUGUCCUUCCGGCGCUUCUGCGCCUCGGCGAGGAGACGGUUGUGCGUCCGCCGCUCAACAUCUUCCGGCACCGGCGGGAGCGAGUGCGCGACCCGGGUUAGCGGACCCUACAAACGCAAAGCAGCUCCACGUCAGAGUGACAAUCGCAAGACACGAAGAAAGGAGGAGGACGCCCCAACUCCUUACCAGAUCUAUGAGCCCGCAUCCGGGCGCAUCGGCGGGUGCCCGGGAAUCGGGUACUCGACGUCCUUGUCCUCCAGCGCCUCCCGAAUCCGUUGCCGGAUCUCGGAAGCGACGAGCGCACCCGUCGCCAAGGCGGUGCCCUCGGUCGGCGCGUCGGGGGUCAUGGCGGCAAGCGGUCGGAUUCAGAGCAUCAGUGGCGCCACCCGUCGGGUGUGGUACGCUCCGAUGACCCCGGCGCCGGUGAGCCCGUCCCGCUUCAGCCGCUCGAUGGCCUGCAGCAGGUCGAAGAACCGCUUCUUGUCCUUCUCCACUGGCCCGUACGCCCACACCUCCGGCGCCGCGUCGAUGGUACGGCCGGUGAAAGCCGGCAGGGGGGAGUUCGGGUAGUUCUUCACAUAGAACCACUGGUUGUGCCACCCCUUGUGGGACGCCGAGGUCUUCAUCGUCAUGUUCUCCUUGGAGCGGGUAUGACGAAGGUGGAUCCCGGCGCACCCGAUCGGCACCGGAGGUGACCGCUGCUGGCUCCCUCGCUUCUCCGUCUUCUGGUACAGGCUCACUGUGAAAAAGUAUUUCCACAGCGAGAAGUGGGGCUCAAUGCCUAGGAAUCCCUCGCACAGGGCGACGAACGCCGCAAUGUGCUGGAUCCCAUUGGGUUUGAGGUGCUGGAGCUCGAGCCCAUAGUAGUGGAGGAGCCCCCGAAAGAAGCGGCUCGAGGGAGAGGCGAACCCCCGCUCAUGGAAGUGAGCGAAGGAGACGAUGUAGCCAGAGAGAGGCUCCGGCACCUGCUCCGGGCCCGACAGCAACCACUCAGCCGCCUCCGUCUUCUCGCAGAGGAGGCCUUUUCGCACCAGGCCCUCGGCGCGCGAGGAGGUGAAAUGGGAGAUCCCCCAGGAACCCAUCGCCGGAGGAGGGAGAUCAACGGAGGUGAGAAGAAAGGGCACGGCUUGGAGCAAAGGAAACGAAGCGGGCACGGACAAACUGAACGCUAGGCUGGAGGGCGGAAAGGCUCGAAUGCAGAAGGCGGGCGGAACCGGCGCGGCGGGCUCCCGUUUUUAUAGGAAAGGUACGGGAGAAGCCAAAUCGACGCCCCGGCCGCCAUAAAUGCGGCGCCAGGUACGCCCCUGCCACGCCCGUUUCCUUUUCGAAAACCGCGCGCACGGCCGGCCGCGAAAACAUCCUAUCCUCCUCGAUUCGCGGGAUGGCGCUUCCCAUAACUCCACCUCCCGGAAGGCACGACGUCCCCCACGUUCGGCCCAGACGUCACGACCGCUCCGUUCUGGCCCAAGGCCCACCGAAAGGUAAGAAAGGGAUACGGGGCUGAAAACGCCCCUACGGCCCAUUACGGUCCAGAGGUUCGAAGGCUGGCCCACCGCGGGAUCGACAGCUGCCUCAGGAUAUCUCCCGAGCAAGGGGUGAGAAGGGACGGGUCCACUAGCGGCCAACACCCAGGCAAGCGAAAGCCAAGGGCGUCCCGACCUCACGUUCGAGUCCCGUCCGGUAUAAAGUUCAUGGUUUUUCCACGGGGAAAGGCAACGAGCCCCCGGAUUCGGCCGAACGGACCCGGGAACUAUAUGAACUGGCCGGCGGGAAAUUGUAGUACGCCACCAGCUUGGCCCGAGCCGGACCCCCCCGAACGGGGACCGGGACUCCACUCGAACCUACCUGUUCGCAGCUCAAAGCGAGCACCACGGUUCGUCCAACUAGGAUAACGUGGCACGGCUCAACCCCUCCGUCCUAGCGAACGGACGCUUGAGGGGCAACGACCAAAAGUCGACCUGGCCUCCCGACCGGUCUCCCGCAACGAGCAGGGGCUCGGGGGCUAGCAUCGCAACCAACGACCAUGCGUAUGGUCACGAUUCCCAGGCUCCCCGGCCAAACCGGGAUGAAGCAAGCGCACCAUAAACAAAAUCCACGGAGAAACGGCGAAAGAAGCCUCCGGAGGAGCACUUUUUGCUCCACCACAGGCUCGGGGGCUACUGUUGGGGGGAAAUAUUAACGAUCCCCUAAAUACCGCUUAAAGGAGCAGACGCGAAGGCCCGGGCCCACCUAAGCAUAAUCAAAACUCCGCCUCGCCCGACCGCGGCCUCAGGGUCAGGAACGCCCGACUCCCCUCCACGAGGUUUCCGCCUCGUCCGACUACGGCCCCAGGGUCGGAGGCGCCCGACCCCUCGCCACAAGGUUCCGCCUCGUCCGACCCCAAGCGCAAGGGUCGGGCUCGCUGGGGCCCCCAGGGCAGGCAUCCCCCUCGGAUGCGGACCAGGUGGGCAAGGUAAACAAAUGCUGCGGGUCCCUCCCCCGUCGGGCUCAUCAUAAAUGCGCCGCAGGCCUGGCAGAGGGAGGAAUGACCGUGCUCCUCACACAACCCGCCGCAAGUACCCAUGCACGACCAUACUCUACAAGCUACAGCGCUGGCGGCUCACUCCCAUUCGCCGCAGGGUACUCAUGGCCUGCGCCGACCGGAGCGGAGGAGAGACUCGCCUGUCCUCGGGCCCCGCGCACCCUCGGGUCCCGUGCGCCUGGCAGCUAGGAUGUGACGCCCUCUCUCCAGGAGCCAUCAUCAGAACGGCAGCAUCCACCGUCCUCCCCAACGGACACCGGGAUAACGACGAAACGCCCUCAUCAUAACCCGACGCCGACGGAUGCCGAAGGAGCUAUCUGUAGGGUGCGACGACAGUUGGCGCACGGCCGCCUCCCCCUCCGGCAUGCACGCCGGCGCUCGCCAGGAGCCGGCGGAGGCGUCGGGCGUCUAGGAACUUGUUCCUCCCAUCCUGCCGUAUUUUUUACCGUACUACGUUCACAUUUUACGGUCCUCUUCGCCCGAUCCCAACUGUAACUCUGGCCACUCCCCUUGCGAUAUAAAAGGAGGAAGACAGGGCCGGAGGGGGGAUCGGCUUCUUCCCCCUCAAGCCACAGCACGCUAGUACGCUCCCUGAGAACAUAGGCACAAAGAGACUUGGGACCAGUCCCUCUCUCGUCGGUCUGUAACCCCUACUACAGAACUCCGCGUGGGUAAUACGAGCAUUCACGAUACUGGACGUAGGGCUCCCUUUGCCCGAACCAGUCUAAUUCGUGUCUCCCACGCCACCAUCUGAGGCCUUACGCGCAUAAAAGAAAUUUACUAGUCUAAGUCUUGAUCCGCCAAUCUUGACAACGACAAAUCUAAAAAUCCAUAACUAAUUAAUUUUAAAUCAUAAAAGUUUGAAACUAUUACCCAUCAUCUUUUUCUAGAAUGUUACCUUUUAUGUUGGUUUUUUUGAGUUAUUUGCAUAUUAUUGUCCCCAUCUCUAGUGUUUUAUUGCUUGUAGUCAAACCUACUAUUUAUUUAUUGUUGUUUUGCAUUGUAUGAUUAUUGGAUGCUAUGCGAUACAAAGAUAAUUGUUCAACAACCAUAUGCAUCAUGAAGAAAUUUCCGGAUACGAUUGAUAUUAGUACAUUAUUAACUUCUUAUCAAGAAAUAUCAAUGAAGUGUUUUAUAUGAAUAUUUUUAAUGCACCUUGAGUUUUUGGAUAACCUUUUUCAUAAAAGUUAAUUAGAUGCAUUCUUAACUAAAUAAGCCAUUUGGUAAUUUUUCAAAAAUGUUUAUUUAGGUAACAGAAAAUUUAUUUAUUUAUUCUGGAAAAAGUUUUUUUUUAACGAAGUUAGCAAGGAAAGCACCUACCUAUUCUUUAAUUGUUAUUUUAGAUCCGUUUAAUUCGCUCCCACGAGAAGUUGAAUAUAGACCUGCAGGAUGUUACUCAGGUGCUCUAACCACUAGACUAGAGUCCCUUUCGCUUCUGAAAAAGGUUUUACAAAAAUCUUUUCCCUAUUAUCUUUUGUUAAGUCUGGGAUGUUGCCGCACGUGGGAAAGAAAGAACGGGAAACAUAGACCGAGACCGCUGCUGCGCCGCCACCAUGCUUCGCCGUUGGAGGGUUAGGGUUCGGGGUUUCGGGUUAUGGGUCAUCGAUGGCGCGGCUAUCUCCGAUGUGGCUGGGAUAUAUGGGAGGUUGACGGUGGCUAGGUAGCAGGCGGUGGUGGCGGGUUGUGUGCGGGAUGGCGGGACACCACCAGUUCCGAUUUGUGGAAGACAAUAGGUGGCCUCUAGAGGCAGCGGGGGAAUCUUGGUGAGCUUCCCGCGCGGGGCUGGGUUAGGGCGGCGAAGGAUGGUGGCGGUGGAUGUGGCAGCGCGAGCCGCCGGAGAUGAUGGAGGAUGGCGGCGCGGGCGCGAGCAAAGGAGGACAGUGCGAUGGUGAUCGAGGGUUGCGACCGGCGACGCCGGAUGCAGUGGCGAGAGCCGUCGGAGCUAGAGGAGGAGGGCAGCGCGGGGGCAUGGGCGUGCGCGCUCCUGGGCUGCCAUCACUGAAGGUGACAUUGGUGAUUUUUGUCACCUUCUGUGAUAUAUAGAUAUAGACAUGCUCUAGAUAGAGGACUCCUUGGAGAGACCCCGAGAAUGGAGAUGGGCAUUUGGAGCUCUUCCAAAAUAAGGAAUCUAGAGGACUUGCUAGAAUGCAUUUUUUUUGACUUGGUCCAUUGGAGUUGUUCUAAGCCAACAACUAUUAGCAUCCUUUUAGAUAACUCUGUUAAUCUGAAAUACAACAGUUUCCUACUUUAUGUAUAAUGAGUGUCAUUGCGUCACUACGUACGAGGUCUACUUUAUGGCGGAUCUGAAGGUGUGUUUGGUUGGGAUGUGGCUUUUGGAAAAGCUACUGUGAGCUGUGGGCUGUGAAAAAGUAGCGGGGAGAAAGCAGCUGUGGGAAAAGCAGAAGACCGUUUGGUUAGAGCAGCUACGAAACUGUAGGUUGUGUAAGAAAUACCUGUAAUGCCCCUAAAGGUCUGCGGGUGUGUUUACAUGCAAAUUGCUCAUAACAAAAUAAUGUGUUCACUAAUUCACAUGUAAAUGACUAUUUUAGAAAGGAAAAAAAAUAAAUUUUAUAUGUUCUUCAUCCAUAUAAGUGAUUGGUCCACAUAAAUAGAACAAUAUCCAUCAAAAGGUUUAUACAAUGAUGUCAUCUCUCAACAUUACUGUCCUCCUCUCGCACUAACCAAAGCAUCAACUAUCCUAGCAUGAAUGAUAUUCAUGGUAUCCUCAUUCUCCAUAUCGUCACUCUCAUCUCCUUGUGUUUGUCUCGUGCCACUUGUAUAUUGUACCAAGUACUCCUACAAAACCGAGUUAGUAAGGUACAUAAUAAUACACGUAUUUCUAACUUGAUGAAGGAAUCAUGUAUACCUUUAGGAGGCACGAGAAAUAUGUCUCAAAGCAUUGUCGAGAAAAUUGAAAGAAAAGAUGAUGAACAAAGGAGGGUCAAUUCUUGUUGCUCUUUGGACUAGAGGAUUGACGAUGAUCAUUGCAGUCCUAACAAUUCUCUUGUUGCAGAACAGAGUAGCAACUUCUGAGUAGCAUAUGAUUCUUACAUCUUCCAGGCGAGGUGGCUAGUGUGCUGGAUGAAGUUGAGGUCCCUUGGCAACCUGGCAAACGCCUCCGUCAUGUCUGCAGGCAAAAUUUCCAAAAAAAACAAGAAGAUUUCAACACCACCAACAAAGCAAGCAUGUAAUCACCUGAUUAAUCAAUCAGCAAACAAUUCACAACUAGCAAUCUGUAGAAAUUAGCACGCCAUUACCGUCCUGGGUGAUGAGCGGGUAGUCGGAUGCGUUGAGGUUGACGAACCAGUCCCAGCGGCGGUGAAGGCGGAGCAGCAACGCGACGGCGUGCAGCGUGGUGGUGAGCAUGGUGGGGCCCCGGUAGGUGACGAGGUUGGGCCUGCCGACGAUCCACACGUUGCCCGCGAUCGCGUACACACCCCACCUGGACAUGAGCUCUGCCAGCCGGCAGUGCUCCUCCCCUGGACCGCAGGUAGUUGUUGGCCGGGUGGUACAGUGCCGCCAGCAGCCGCAUCGUGCGGCCCACUUCCCCUGAGGAUGCCGAGAUAAGGUAUGCGAACGAGAUCGGGUACCGCGGCGCCUCGCCGGCGGCACCGUCGAAGGCGGCCAACGAUGAGAGUGUUGACGUCGGUUUUUGACACGUGUCAGGGUCGACGUCAAGAGGAGAAGAAAGUGGCUGAUGCGGUUAAACAAGAAGCUAUGGCUAGAGAAAUCAGUCAGUAAAGCUAUAGUGUUUCAGCCGAUUAGCUAAUGAGAUAGAUGAAGACUGGCCGAUUGGAAGCUAGAAAAGCUCGGCCGAUAUGGGCCUAAAUGGGCCAAGGUGGUAACAAGAUGAAGAUAGGAUUGGCCCAUAGAGGAUUGGAUGGUGUUCGACUCCGAUACAAGUUGUAUCCGUAUGUAAAUAUUUGUUGCUUUGAAUAAGAAAUAGAAUAUUGAGUCAUAGUCGGUUAGGAAACGAGUUGUAACAGGGUAUAAAUAGGUGCCCCGUGAGGCUGGCAAAAACAUCAACAAACAUCAAUACAAAUCUACUUUUUCAUGCAACUUUACUUUCAUGUCGGCGACUUUGCCAAACCCUUUUCUUUUCACGAGUUCGUGUGAGUUGGCAGGGCUGCAUCAACGUGAUCUCCGAGCAAUUUGUAAGUUCCGCGUUUCGAGUAAUAUAUAAGCUUUAACUUUGGGCGUAUCGCUGUUGUUUUGUUUAGAUUUAUUCACUAGUUAUCGAUAUUUGCUAGAAUUAUAGGUUUUAUUCUCCGGUGGAAAGAUUGUGCCUUUGCCUGUAUUUCUCUUGCACUAAACUCAGGCGAUACCUAUUAUCGGCGGAAUGUGUGGUCGCGUGUAAAGUUGAUGUUGUCAAGUAUAUGUUAUCACUGCCGAUCUUGAAGGGAAGGAUUGGAAAAUGUAUUCUGGCACUCUCAGAAUUCGAUCUCAGGUACGAAUCGGCCAAGGCCGUCAAGGGUCAGGUAAGGCUGAUUUCGUCACCCAACACUGUGGAUCAGAAAUUACUGUCGUUGAGCCGGCUCCAUGGACUCUGUACUUCGAUGGAUAUUCGUGUGGGAUUGGAUCAGGAAUCGACAUAAUUCUUAUAUCGCCUCGGGGGGCAAGUUAUGAGUUCUCUCUGCCGAUUGAGGCUUCCGCUACUAAUAAUCAAGCAGAAAAUCGGGCUGUCUUAAAGGGCAUCCAAUUAUUGAGGGAGGUCAAGGCUGACGUGGUAGAAAUAUUUGGGGAUUCCAUGAUUAUCGUGGAUCAGUUGAUUGCAAAGUGUGAGUGCAAGGAUGAUAUUCUAAGGAUUUAUUAUGAGGAAUGCCUCCGGUUGCUCAAAGAAUUCAAGACCGUAACUAUUGAACAUAUCCCUAGGGAUUACAAUGAGGAAGCCAAUAGACUUGCCCAGCACGCUUCUGGCUACUGGCCGAUUCAUGGCGCUUUCGCUCUAGAGCUGGCGGCCGACAACUGGAGGAAGGAGAUCGCCGAUUAUUUAAAGGAUCCAUCCAAGAAAGUUGAUCGGCAGAUACGCUUCCAAGCCACAAAGUAUGUGUUACUUGAAGAUGAAUUGUUUUAUCGGACGAUUGAUGGAGUGUUUCUCAAGUGCCUUAGCAUUGAGGAAGCAAAGAUUUUGAUGGGUGAGAUUCAUGAAGGUCUAUGUGGGACCCAUCAAUCGGCUUUCAAGAUGAAGUCGAUGAUUAGAAACAAUGGGUAUUACUAGCUGACAGUACUUGAAGAUUGUUUCAAAUAUUAUAAAGGCUGUCAGGAUUGUCAAAAAUUUGGCAACGUGCAACGAGCCCCGGCCUCGGCUAUGAACCCGAUAUUAAAGCUGUGGCCAUUUAGAGGCUGGGUAAUUGAUCUCAUCGGUUAGAUCUAUCUGCCGUCAAGCAAAGGGCAUAAGUUCAUAUUGGUGGCGAUUGACUACUUCACCAAGUGGGUUGAGGCGGUUCCUUUGAAUGUUGUGAUGUCGGCCAACAUGAUCGAAUUCAUGAAGGAGCACAUCAUUUAUCGAUUUGGUAUUCCUCAGACCAUCAUGAUUGAUCAGGGGUCAAUGUUUACCUCAGGGAGUUCGAGGAGUUCACUGCCAGUAUGGGAUUAAGCUGUUGAAUUCUUCUCCGUAUUACGCUCAGGCCAAUGGUGUGACGACCCCGGUUAAAUCUUUCGAGUUAAUCUUAAUACGAGCCCCAAAAUUCCUCUGUCUCAGUUUUUCCCGAGCAGGAGUGCUCCACUCCAGUUCCUGUUCCUGACCCGUGAAGACUCUAACUCACCCCGCCAGUUCCUUUUAAGUCUCAACAACAGUGUCCCUUUCAAUCUUGAACAGAGGAAAGACCGAGACUGACGGAUGGACCCGCAAUCUUUUCCCCGGAUCUCCCGAGGCAUACGCACUCGAGCGGCCUGCACCGCUUCAGAGCUCCCCCGCCGCGUGGCUCAACUUCUCCGACGCCCGCCGCUUCACCCAAUCGCCGGCCGGGACAGGAUAGAUUCUCACGCCCUCCUCCCCAAUCGCAGCGGAAGCCCCUCUGCAACCCUUUCUGCUGCGCCUCGUCUCGCUCGCGCCCUCGCCGGCCGCGCCUUGGUGCUCCGACACCGCUGUGGCAGAGCUUUGCCGCUUGCUGCAUCCAAACUACCUCGCAGCUCACGCCCGUCAUCAUCUCACUGGAUCCCCGACUGCAAGGCCCGAUGCCUUCCGACUUUUCCACCGCCUCUACACAGUCGCGCUCGCCUGCGCAGCCGCAGCCUGCCUAUCUUUUCACCGGUUGCAACCUCGCUUGUAGCGCCGUUCUCCCUGUCACACCCAUCAGAUCCGCCGCAUGACGACGCCCGCCUCCGCCAAACCUCAACUACCGGCAAAACCGCGCCUGCGCCGCCUUGUCUCCCGUGCCCAAUAGCCAAGGACCCUAUCUCCGAAAUCCUGUUCCGCCGCCCAUCGACGCCCAGUCGCCGCCAUGGCAGCGCACUCCAUCCUUUUCUUCCGGUCUUCGUGCUACUCCAACUCCCUCUCUCUUUCGCGCAGCUAUAAAAAGGAAUGCCAGAGCCCUACUGGAGAUCCCUUCACCAUCGUUGCCUCGCCGCCUUGUUCCUGAGCGCCGCCACCUAAGUUCUUGAGGAACUCUCAUCUUCGCUCAACACCCGCCCCUCCCAAUCCACCAAGCCGCCUGCUCCUCCACGCUAUGCUAGAGCUUCCUUGUUGCUCACAAGAAGCUCCGCCGCCGCCGGAGCACCGCCGGACAUAGCCGCCACCAAAGCCUUAGUGCUUAAGACCUUCCGCCCAAGUCUACUCCUUCCCGACCCCAAAGCUUCACCUAUAAACCAAAGGUAAGCUGCCGACCCCUUACCGGUUCGCCCGACCCUACCUGUUCGCCUGACCCUACCUGUUCGCCCGACCCCUCUUUCCAUCUCGCCCGACCCUGUCUGUUAGCCGGCCCUUAUCUUCUUCGCCCGAGGACUCGGCUGUACUCUUUUCCUUGACCCGAGGGUAUCUGUGUAAGAUUUCGGGGACUUCUCUGUAAUAGCUUUGAGGACCCCAAACACAUUAAGGCUUAUGGGUCAGAUCAUAAGUUCUUCCAAUUCGACCCUUGGUCUUGUUCUCUAUCCACUGAAGCUUGAACCCCCACACUCUUUCCGUAGCUUUGCUACAAGUUUCUGGGCUAAGACUUGCGAGUGUUGCUGUUGAAAUAACCGUCUAGACACUAACUCCAGCAUUGCAUUCGUGUAGAGUUUCAUCUUGCUGACGGCGUCUACGAACUACACCCGGUGCCAGAAGACGGAGCUGUAGCUGAGCUACCAGUUCCAGAAGCCGAAGUCGCACCAGCUGAAGACCCGCUUCCCUCCCCUCCACUUGAAGGCAAGUCCCGGAGCAUGAACCCCAAAGUUUCCCAAACUUGCGCAUGCCUUCUUUCUCAUGUUUGUGCAUUUACGUAUAGGAGUUGUUUGCAACCUUAGAUGCAUGGUAUAGUUCCUUGAUCGGAACACUAGUUGUUGAAUCGAGUAGUUGCUAUGCUUAAAUAGGAAGUGGUAAAAGUCGAGUGAUUUCCUGUCACUCGCGAGUUAUAGGAGUUGGUUGUUCUCCUUCUGUUACAACUAUAAGGACGAUGGAUGGGGCAAGGUUUUGGUUAACUCUUUUGCUAGUCGGCUGAUCCCCCCGUCUGUCUAUGGAAUCUGUUAAGGCCCGAUAGUGGUGGUGUUCGUGAUCAAGUGUUUGAAAGUACUAAUCUCAUACCUAGUAUGGGAUGGGGAAGCCUAGUACCUGAUUGAACUAGGGCGUGGCUUAUACCCCUGCUGUCCCUGGAACGAGGUUCCCAUGGUGCAUCAUGUGGGUGCAAGUGCGGUCACAGUACGGUAGAGGCCGGGAUUGUGGAGCAUUGCAUGCCAAGGGAAGUUGGACCUGACACGUGCCUGGGAAUUGAUGGGGACGGCUGACACAGGAAGCGACCCUUGUGGUGCGCGGAUGUCGUGAGAUUAGGUUUGCCAUGCAUGGUUAAGAAACUCGAAGGAUUCGUCUGCCUCUCACAGUUUGAGACUGCUUGAUCGCUAUGCUACACUGAUUAAUGAAAGAGUCUGAUGAUGACAUGGUCUUGAUGAGUAGCUUAUAUACAUAAAGUUGGAUCUAUGUUUGCUUAGAGUAAGAUGCCAACGUAGACUGGUUAAUGAACUUAGAAUUUGAGCUAAAACUUGAAAGCAAGGACCUAACGUAGUAGCUUUUGGCAAACAAAACCCCUCAGCCAAAGAGCCUUGCAUGUCUAGACGUGGUGGAGUAGUUUUACCACCGGUCGGUUAAGUCUUGCUGAGCGUAGCAGCUCAACCUUGUUUGUGGCUUUCUUUUCAGGUGAAGUCGCAGCUCCUGAGUUUGCUUCCGUUGGCACUUGGCCGCCCCAGCUCCCUCCGGGUUGGACGGUUGAGUGGGAUCCUUCCUCGGACGGUGAGGAGAGGGAUCAUUGAUGUCCUGAUCGGCCUCAUUAGGGACAUCCGACCCUGGCGCUAGCUUCCGCUAAUUUAGCUUUCCGCUGCUUUUGAAUCUUGUAAAACUCUGAUUUUUGUUUUUAUGUUGAACUAAAUUGUCAAACUUGUUUAACUCAGUGGAUCUGUUGUAUUCUCUGAAACCGCUCACCUUCGUGUGAGUUUCGCUAAUCCGGUCCUGUAAGUGGUUUAAUCGGAGGAAAUCCGACGGCCCUUCGAGUUAACUUGACUAAGGCAUAAGUGUCGCGUGUCAGGCGACUUAACAAUGCUUUAAUCAAGGUAAUCCGAGGUGGUUCCACCACAAAUGGUCAGGCCAAGUCAUCAAAUAAGGGGGUUAUUAAACUGAUUAAAAGGAAGGUCAAAAAACAACCAAGACGGUGGCAUACAACGCCGAAUGAGUCCUUAUGGGCUUAUCGGAUGGCUUGCCGCGGUGCCACCAAGGUGUCCCCUUAUCAGUUAGUAUAUGUGCAUGAAGCAGUAUUACCUUGGGAGUUGAAGACUGGGUCUAGACGUGUGUCACUUCAGAAUCAGUUGUCGGUUGAUGACUAUUCCGCCCUCAUGAGGGGAGAAUUGGAAGAUUUGGCGAAUCAACAGCUAAGGGCUUUGAUCAGCAUUGAGGAAAAUAAGAAAAGAGUCACCAGGUGGUAUGACAAGAAGGUCAAGGUCAAAAGGUUUUCCCAAGGGGAUUUAGUCUGGAAGUUGGUUCUGCUGAUAGUAUGGAAAAUGGUCGCCCACUUGGGAAAGGCCAUAACGGAUUAGCCAAUGUGCUCUAGGCAAUGCAUACAUACUGGAGACUUUUGAGGAAGAAGAAUUUACAAGGGCCUUGAAUGGAAGAUAUUUGAAAAGAUACUACCCUAGUAUAUGUGUAGGCGCUUAGCCGAUGAUGUGGCAUAACGGGCUUUCACGGUCGACGCGUACUGAUUCGUGUUCAUAUAGCCGAUGCAAGGGGCAUCGCCUUAAGAUUGAAAGAGGCGAAAUAGUGUAUAUAUAACUAAACCGAUCAUUAUUCGGUACACCAACUAAAUAUAUGGCCGGCAUGAUACAAGUCGCCCUUAGAUAAAAAGUACCGACACAGUUAUGGGUUACAACGAUUUAACAACGUUUCAUGUGAGCUUUAUUCAUAUCGAUUUCUUUCUGAAGUCGAUCCAAUUCGAUCUGGAGUCGGGCGUUCUUCUCCUCUAGUUCUGCCAUGUCAUCUUCAACAGCAACUUGACAGGGUAACAGAUGGCUUCUUUCGACUGAUUGCCGUGGUUGCCUUCUAGAAGCUUUAGCCUCGAUGUCAUCCACAAUCCUCUUGAUAUUCACGGGGAGGUGAUCUCUGAGUUCCUCACGAUGAGUUUGGAUCAGGUCUUUGUCAGCCUGAGUGAGCGGUUCAUCGGAGUGGAGGAUCUCAAUGGCUCGUUCAAGAUCACGGCUGAGUCGGUUUGGCUACGAGAAGAAUUGAUGAUCAAUUGACAGAGGGAUUGGUCGAGAGAUAGGAGAUUGACUUCGUACCUGAUUGACAGAGGAGGAGGAGGCCAUCUUGGUCGCUCGAUCGAAGAUUUGUAAGCGCGCGCAAGGAAUGGUUGAGUGGGUGUUUUGCGAAUGCCUUCAGAAGGGAUGCGAAGGGUUUGUACUUAUAGAACAGAAUGGCAAUGGACAAAGGUCGGUAAAAGGAGGGCAUUUAAAGAAAGCGACCGUUGAGUCAUAAAAGCUACGUGAGGACUGUUCAGACUUGCAUUUCAGACAAAAACGCCAAAAGUAUCAACGUUACACAAGAUGUUCAAAGGCUGGUUGAGUUCGUUACAACUAUCCGAGGAGAUUGUUUAUGGUCUCAAUCGCUCGCAGGCGAACUUGGUUGGCCACCUCCAACACUCGCCGAUCAUCAUCGGCUGAUCCUAAGACUUCUGGCGCAUUGCGAUGAAGAUGGAUGGCCUCGUGAGUGAGGGAUUGUCUUUCUUGUUUAAAAUCAACGAUGGCGGUUGGAAGAUCUUCAAGUUUCUUUUCUUCGGUAGCGAUAGCCUUUACGACCAGUUCCAUCUCCUUGGUGAGCUCUGCUCUGCGCCAUUUGAGUUGGUCUAUUUCACUGAUGAUGCUUGGAUGAGAAGUCUCAUGGAGACCGAUCUACCGAUGUACGUGUUGUGCACGGUGCUUGUAGGACUCUUCUUCUUGACGCACCAUCUCCAAUUUAGCACGGUCAGCCAUGUGUCGCAAGGCUCUAAACACCGGGACCCGCAUGGUUUCGAUAUAUGCUGCGGGUGUGAGAACCUCUUCUGCGUCUUCUGGGACUUGGCCUUUGAUCUCGUUGAAAAUCCACCGUAUCAGUUUGGCAUCUUCCACCAAUCGACCGAUGUUUUCCUGAAGAAGGGUUCGCAUGUUUUGGAGCUUGGCACGGACAUCUUCUGGUAUUGAGCUCAGAGUUAUUUGGCGUGAUGCAACUUCUUCGUCAUCAGAGACCGCAAUUGCAGAGGAGAAGAGGCUUUUGUUUGGCGUGUCUUACUCCUGCAGGGAUGUGGGAAAGUGUUUUAGCCGAUAAAAGUAAAAAAUCGGCUGGUAGAUAUAGAAGGUUCUUACCUCCUUCAAACAAAUCUCUUCUGCUUGGGUUGGCAGAGUCGUUACUCCCACCUCAGAAGUUUGCGGAGGUAGCUCAUUAGAGGGGGAAGACUUGACAAUGAUCGGCUCUCUAGGCGUAGCUGAUAAUGUGCUUGGACCAGCCUCCUGGAAAAGGAACAAAGGAAUCAUUUUUGAGUAUAAAAUAAUACUGGAUCUAAGUAGAAGUCUCGGUUUUCUUACCUCUCGGACGCGCGCAGCCAACGGUAGCACCAGGGGAAUGACUGACGUAUCUGGAGCGUCCUGUGUCAAGAAUCGUCUGAUUUUAGUUAUCAGAACUGUGGAGACUAAGGGAAGAGCAUGUUCUUUACCUCAAUUUGAAGAUUUGUAGGUAACACAAUUUUAGCUUGAGAAUCGGCCAAUUAAGGAACAGUCUGCUCUAGGAUAGGUUGUACGGCCUGUUGAAAAGAAACAAAUUUAGUAUUGGUGAUACAUAUGAAGAAGUCAGAGCAGAAAGAUUACUCGUGUAGCUUUCACCAAGAGUAACACAAUCGCCGACCCAGCCUCUGAUGCUGCUAGGGGAUCAAUGUCCUGAAUUGCCGACAAUACAUCUGCUUGGAUUGGUGCGGCUGAGGGCUCGACCGAUGUUGCUGCCGAUUGGUGGGUUGUUCGAGUUGUCGUAGAUUCAGUACGAGCUCAUACCCUGCGACUCGUCUUCUUUGUGGUGGAUAUUUUGAGCUUAUGCUUCAAUCGGUUGGUGGCUAUGUCCUCCAUUGAUGGGGCGUGAUAGCCGAUGAGAGGGUACGGUGUGUACGGAUGAUGGGUCUGUAUCAGUCUGCCACUCUAACUGUGCGUUGGAGGCACUUGGCUAUCAACCUGUGCAGGGUAAAAGGAUAAUGAUAAGAAAGUUCUGCAACAUGUGAAAAUUAUUGGUAAGGAAUCGACAAAAAAGUAUUGUUACCUCUGCAUUCGGAUCAGUGUGAGCGGGGUCCAGUUGAUUGCAAUACACUGCAGGGGCCGCACAGGAAAGGUACUGUUUCCACUCGGCCCACCACAAUUUGAAUUGUUGAGUGGAGAAGGGGACCACCAGCCAAGCGCUCAGAUCGAUGGUGUCGGAAUCCGGUGUCAGAUUACACAAUCUGUUGUAUUCCAGUCCUUUUGAAAUCGGUUCUCAAAAUUUCACUCGGCCGACGAAGUGAAUCCGAUUGGUAUUUGUCCCAAGCCAAAUUGCCGAGCUGCUACCGACGGGUUAUAGAACUCAUAUGUUGGAGAGUCCUUGCCAGAGAAGAAAUUUGCCGGUAGAAUCCCAGGUUGAUCAGGGUGUCCAUGAUUCCUUCAUCGAAGGUAUCGGUAGCCUAGUCAAAACAGUCAGGAUUCUAAAAAGUUGGGUUCUCUCUCUGAUAUGGAUACCAAUUCGUCACCUCUUCUUUAAAGCUGUUGUAAAAGCAUCUAAAGUGCUCGGCUAUUCUUGAGGGGGCAAGCUUGCCGCCUGGGAAAGUGGAUACGGCUUCACUAAAGGAAGUACAGCGGCGUCUGGCCAAUGGGUCGGUUUCUGAUUUAACAUUAGGAAAGUCUUGGUCUCAAUCCGCUCCUUGAAGAUUUCGCUCAUAUAUAAGUUGAGCUAGAGAUUGACAAACCACCAAGGACCACCAGGAUUCCUGAUAGGUUCUCCAGAUGAUAGCUUCACGCCGAUGUGAUGCAGCAUGUAAUACACUGACCCUAGUAGAUGCUUUCCCAAAGGGACUGUGGCUCCUCUAACUAGUGCUUCGGCCAAAGCCUGUGUGUUGGAAGUAGGACUGGCUAAUUUACCACAGAAGACAUACCUUUCCUGCCACAUCAUCAAGAAGGUCGUGUGCUCUUUUUCUGUGUUGGGUCCGGUCCUCAUGUUCUUCUCAAUGUAGCCUUUCCAUGUGCUGAUGGCUUUCGUCUCCAGCCGAUGGGUGGGUUUGAUUAAGAAAUCGAAAGGUGAGUCGGUGGAGGAAACAUCGAGGCCAGUCAGCAUCAGAACAUCGGCCAGGGUUGGAGUCAUUGGCCCAUGGUCGAAAAGAAAUGCAUUGAGAGCAUCGGACCAAAAGUAAGAUGCCGCGAUGAGCAGAGAUUCUUUCUUUUCCAUAUGAGAUAGAGAUAAAUUUCUGCAAUGGCCGAUUUUUCGCUCAUCCCAGAAGACUCUGUUGGAAUUUGACAUUCUAAAAAACCAAUCUCUCCAUCCGGGGGUUUGAUUCGGCCAAGACUUGAAAGUGUUCGCCCAAUUGUCUAGUUCCAUGGUCGAUUGCUUAAAAGGGAUCCUGUGAGUUUCUAGUUUAAUCAGAUCGGUUGGGUUAGGAUCUCCCAUAGAGCCAAGAUCGAUGAAUCCAGGGGUGUUGGCCAUGGGAUGGUGAUUCUUUGCCUGAGUUCUUGAGCAAAUGCGAAGAAAGACUAAGAACAGAUCUAAAAUCGCGAAAAGAUGAGGAGAGCCUAGAAGACUUACCUCAGGAACGAAGGUCAUGGUAGCUAUGGGUGCCACCAUUGGAGCUUGGGAGUUGGUGCGGUCGGUGAAGGACGUGAGCAAGUCACUGGAGUGCGCUGGGAUGUGCCUAGAAGUGGCACGAGCAAGGUCGCUGGGGUGUGCCGGGAGAUGAUUCGCUGGAAAGGAAACCCUUUUCGCCCGGAGGAAGAUGAAGCGGCGGAAGAGAUGAGUAUCUGCACGAUGACUCGGGAGAAGGGUAAAUAUGAAAUUUUUACCACGCCGUCUGCGCUAAUUUCGAAAGGAGCGGUUGCCUACAGGUGCUCAGUUCGAAAAAAUGCAAUCAUCAAGGAGAAGAUUUCGGGAGCAAAGAGGGUUUUGCUGCAUUUAUUGUUGCGUCUUUUCUGAAAGAAGGAAUCAGAGUUGAGAAAAUUUCGGAGAAAAAGAUAUGUUUCACUAUGAAGCUGGGAGGCAUGUGUUGAUGCCAGUUUUUAACACGUGUCAGGGUCGGUGUCAAGAGGAGAAGAAAGUGGCCAAUGCGGUUAAACAAGAGGCCAUGGCUAGAGAAAUCGGUCAGUAAAGCUAUAGUGUUCUGACCGAUUAGCUGAUGAGAUAGAUGAAGACUCACCGAUUGGAAGCCAGAACGCUGGAUUUUGACACGUACUUGAAAUCGGUGUCAAAGAAGGAGAAAGGGGGGCCGAUGCGGCGGACUAGAAGCUACAGUUGGGAAUCGGCCGAUUGAAGCUACAAUGUUUCAGCCGAUUGGCGGAAGAAAUUGGUGGAGGCUGGCCGAUUGGGAGUCAAAGCAGUUUGGCCGGUUUGGGCCUAAGGUGGGCCAGGAUGAAUAUUUGCUGAAGAGACAGGCCCGUGGGAAAAUAAUAACCAACUCGAAUACGAGUCGUGUUUGUAACUAUUUGUUGUCGUUUGAAAUUAGAGAUAGAUUCUAGUCGGUUAGGAAAUCAGUUCCAACACGCUAUAACUAGCUACCUCGAGAGGCUUGUAAAAAAAACAACACAUCAAUCAAUACAAAAAAAAUUACUCUUUCCUCGUACUUUACUUUCAAGUCGGCGACUUCGCCAAAACCUUUUUCUUUCACGAGUUCGUACGGAUUGGCAGGGCUGGAUCUACAGGAUCUCCGGCCGAUUCUGUAAGUUCCACUUAUCGAGUAAUACUAAGCUUUAACUUCGGGCGCAUCGCUGUUAUUUUGUUUAGAUUUAUUCACCAGUUAUCGAUAUCAACUAGAGUCAUAGGUUUUACCUGUUAUUUUAGUUUUUAUCACCAAUUAUCCAUCUUGAGGUACGAACUGUCGGUUUUUAUUAUUCUUAUCCUUUAUCAUCACAUAGCCGAUUAGAUCUACUCCAAGUUUUGCUUCUGUAGUGUUGUUUAGGUUGCUGUAAAAGUUUUCCUUAUGAUUGCUACAUGAGUAUCGGCUGUCUUAUAGCCGGUCAUCUCUACGGUAAAUCGGCCGAUUCGCUGAUACGCUCUUCAAGACAGAUCGGAACUCUAGCCGAUCGAAACCCCUAGAAUUUAAUAUUCUUCUUUCCAUGUCAAUCAUUAGGUCAGAUUGACUGGCAUGCCGCGCGAACCGCACUAGGGCAAUAACUCGAACAGGAGCUAAGUAGAUUCUCCUGGGUCGUGUGUCCGACGCUGAGGGUCAUCGGCCAAUUUUCAGCACCAACACACUUUUGGCAUGCCCGGUGGGACCAAACAAGAUCCAACAUGUCGAAGGCUGCUGAGAUCUUUGAAGAUAACGUCCUUGAAGUCAUUGAAGAAAAUCUCAAGGACGAUCAGAAGGAGGAACUGGCGAGGGCUAUAGAAGAAUACAGGAAGACAUGCCUGCAAUCUUUCAUUCGUACCAGAAGCGGGGAGACAGUCAAGAAAGCUCCUCUCUCCACUUCCCGCCAAAUCACCGUCAUCGAGGACUCAGGGAAGAUGUCUGAGAUGAUUCAACAGUCCGUUUAUCAGGCUAUGAUUGACCAAUCCACGGUGAUGACCAACACUGUAUACAACGCCAUCAUCAGCUCCUUGGUUAGCGGCGUAGCUCAGGGGUAUCAGGGACUAGCGUAUGCUCCUCCCAUCGUGGCACCGAUCAGAGGCUUCUUAGCAGCGCCAAACGUGUGUCACUCGACUCCUCAACUAAUGCAGAUGCAACGUGGAGGGUACUACACUUCAAUGCCCCUGGGGUACAAUGGUGCAUCAUUCUAUCAAUCGCAAGAACCGUCUCAUCCUAUGCCAAUUUCAUCCAUACAAUCGCCGCUCUCAAACUCGGCGCCAUGGGGGGUAGCAGCAGCAACCGCCGGUCUGGAUCCGUCAACCAGUUAUGGAAAGUCUCCAGUCCAGGCGUUAUUCCAAUCGGCCGAGGCCGAUAGCCCCGCAAUACCAAACAACCACUUCAGAUAUCGGCAGGAGGACAGGCGCUCUAGAAACACUCAGGGUUGCGGCGUCGAUAAUAUUGUACGAUGAAGUGACAGAUACACUAUGUCAGCAGCCAUCGGCUACUCAGCCGACAACCCAGCCACAAUAUCUGCAGAACACUCCAGUUUAUCACCCGAUCAUGGAACCGCAAAUCCAACAGCACGUACCGAUUCCUCAGCCGGUCGUGCAUCAGCAGCAGGUUGAUUGGACCGCGAAGAUAGCAGAGGUAAUUCAAGAUCAGUUUGUGUUAAAAGCAAAAGUACAAACUUACAUGUACAAGACGCCAUACCCACUUGCCUACGAUCUGUUACCGUUCCCUCAUCGGUACAAAGUCCUUGACUUCACCAAGUUCUCGGGCCUAGACGACACGUUGACUGUCGAGCACGUUAAUAGGUUCAUCAUCCAGUGCAGGGAGGCUGCUACGCAAGAUGCUUUGAUGGUGCGCUUGUUCUCGUCAUCCCUAUCCGGAUCAGCCUUGCAGUGGUUCACUACACUGCCGCCCAACGCCAUCGUUACCUUGGCCGAUUUGGAAAAGCAAUUCCAUAAGUACUUCUAUGCGGGAAUCCACGAGAUGAAACUCUCAGACCUAACUAGCCUCAAGCAAAGAAGCGAUGAGUCGAUGGCCAGCUACAUACAGAGGUUUAGGAAAGUUAGGAACAAGUGCUACACCUUGGUCUGGACUGACACCCAACUAGCCGAUAUCACCUUCCAAGGACUCCUGCCACACAUCAAAGAGAAGUACGCCUCCCAGGAGUUCGAAAGCUUGAGCCAAAUCGUCCAUCGGCUGUCCGGCCAAGAGAUACACCCUUUCGACCAACGAAGGAACUUUCAAAAGAAGGUAGCUUAUGUGGAAGGGUCUGAAUCGGGAGAGAAGGCGGAAAUCGGCCUAGCAGAGUCGGUAAAAGGAAAAAAGCCGAUAUCAUGCCCGUUUGGAAAAAAGGAACCAGAAACAUUCGGCUUUGACACGUCAAAAGCCGACAAAGUCUUCGACUUGCUGCUUCAAGAGGGGCAGAUCAAACUUUCGCCUUACCACACCAUUCCGUCGGCCAAGCAGCUCAAAAAGAUGAAAUACUGCAAAUGGCACAAUACCACAUCCCAAGACAAAAAUGAGUGCAAGAUCUUCCGACAAUAGAUACAAUUAGCCAUUGAGCAAGGAAGACUCAAGUUCGAGGUUCCAGCAAAACCAGUGAAGCCGAUGAAGAUUGAUCAACAUCCCUUCCCCGCCAACAUGGUCAAUGUAGGAAGAAACGCACUCCAAACCAAAGUUUUGAUGUUAGAAUUGGCCAGGAGAAGCGGUGCAGUGGAUCCCAAAAAUCAGGCCACGAUCGGAGAUGUCAAAGGAAAAGGACGGAUGGAAGAAGAAGGUGAAGGAUCAGAAAGGCCACGUCGGCCUGUCACUUCCCAAGACUUACUCAGCAAGUAUCAGCAGCAGCGGGAAGAUUCAAGACGCCACGAAGAGAUGAUGCGCCGACACGAAGAUCACUGGAGGUGCCCGUUUUUCAUCCACUGCUGGGAGAAUAACCUUAGAUUACCGUCGGCUGAUAAUUGCCCUGAGUGCAACGGCCAGUAUCGCAGUGGUCGUCCGUUCAAUAGAUCACGCUCCAAGGAUCGAGGGCUAGAGCCAAUCAGCAGAAAGAGGCACGAGCAAGGAGAUCGGCGCGUUUCAGUGCGUGAUCGGCUGGGGGGUAGAGUUGACCAGCAUAAUCGGCUGGGGGGCAGAACCAGCGCACAUGAUCGGCUGGGGGGUAGAACCAGCGCACAUGAUCGGCUGGAAGAGAUAGCUGACGCCAAAGUCUCAGAUGAGAACCUCCUAGGGUGAGAAUCAGGCUGGGAGCGUGCAAAGCCGCCGAGUAAACCAGUAAACCCCAGAUGGUGCCCAGCCGGUUUGACUAAGUCCUUGAAACGGAGGGUCCAGCGUUUGCACCAAUGGGAGCAGCAAGAAGAAAAACAAAGGUAGGUGAUGGAUAACAAAGGGGACAGGUCUCGAGUAUGGCGUCCUAGAAGAAAAUCCGACGCAGGAGACUAAAAUCAUGAUUCGACAGCUGACUUCAGCAUGAUGUUCAUCUUGCCGAUGGAGUUCAUGCCUCCCGCCGACCGGGACAAUGCGAUAGAGAUAGAGGAGCAAAUGGCACAAUUGGCUCUGGAGCCAAUGACCGCCACUUUUGAGAAACCCGAGGAUUAAAAACGCCAACAUCUCAAGGCCCUGUUCCUCAAAGGACAUGUCAACGGACGACCAGUCACCAAGCUGUUGGUAGAUGGAGGCGCUGCUGUGAACAUCAUGCCCUAUGCUAUGUUCCGCAAAUUGGGCAAAGGUAAAGAAGAUCUAACAAAGACGGAUAUAAUGCUCAAGGAUUUCGAAGGCAACGUAUCUCCGGCCCGAGGGGCACUCUGCGUCGACCUCACCAUCGGGAGUAAGGCCCUACCCACUAUUUUCUUUGUUAUUAAUGGCAAAGGCUCCUACAACAUGUUGCUCGAGCGAGAUUGGAUCCACGCAAACUGCUGCAUCCUGUCUACGAUGCACCAAUGCCUUGUCCAAUGUGUCGGCGACAACAUCGAAGUAGUCAUCGCCGAUUCCACCUAUAGCGUUGCCACGGCCGACGCACAACAGUGGAGCUACGAUCACGUCAAAUUCAAAUAUGGUAGGGUUUGGGACACCAAUUUCCUAAAGGUGUCCGAUUUCGGUCUACAGCCAAUCCAAGCAGUCAGCUCUAAAGAAUCAAGUUAAAAUGGAUCAGUUCAUCUGAGAAGAUGGGAAGCUCGGGCACGGGUUUACGUCGGCCGAUUCAUUGGAGAUGGUGGACCUUGGAGAUGGCAACAAGCCAAAGCCGACGUAUAUUCGUGCUAGGUUAGAACCCGAGUAUAAGCAUGAAUUAAUGAGUCUUUUACGAGAAUUUAAAGAUUGCUUUGCUUGGGAGUAUCAUGAGAUGCCUGGUCUAGACCGGUCCAUCGUCGAACACCGGUUGCCUAUAAAACCAGGGCAUUGGCCGCAUCAGCAACCUGCACGACGUUGUAAUCCUAAAAUUUUACCUGAUAUAAAGGCCGAGAUUACAAGAUUAAUUGAAGCAGGGUUUAUUCGGCAAUGUCGCUAUGCCGAGUGGAUUUCCAAUAUUGUGCCCGUAUACAAGAAAAAUGGAAAGUUACGUGUGUGCAUUGACUUCAGGAAUGUUAAUCAGGCUAUGUCGAUGGAUGGAUAUCCGAUGCCGAUGGCUGAUGUUUUAAUAGACGCCACCGCAGGACACAAAGUCAUCACCUUCAUGGAUGGUAAUGCUGGGUACAAUCAGAUAUUAAUAGUCGAAUAAGAUAUUUCAAAGACGGCUUUCAGAUGCCCAGGCCACCUCGGUUUGUUCGAGUGGGUAGUAAUGAGUUUCGGUUUAAAAAAUGCUGGAGCUACGUACCAACGGGCUAUGAAUUAUAUAUUCCACAAGCUUAUUUGUGUCCUGGUGGAGAUCUACAUUGACGAUGUCGUGGUCAAAUCAAAAGGGUAUCAGGAACACCUGGCCGAUUUGCGAAAAGUGUUGGAAUGCACAAGAAAGCAUGGGUUGAAGAUGAAUCCAAACAAAGUGUGCCUUCGGCGUUUCGGCUGGACAGUUUCUGGGAUUCAUGAUUCACGAGCGAGGCAUCGAGAUCAAGCGAAAAAUUAUAGUUGCUAUCAACAAAGUCGUGGGCCCCCAGAAUAAGACUGAGCUACAGUACUUAAUCAGCAAGGUUAACUUCAUCCGACGGUUCAUAUCUAACUUGUUCGGGCGUAUUCAAGCUUUCACCCCUUUGUUGAAAUUAAAACCCGAUCAAGAAUUUGUAUAGGGUAAGGAAUAGCAGAAAACAUUAGAUGGCAUCAAACAAUACCUAGUCUCGCCACCAGUAUUGGUUCCGCCGCAGGCCAACAAGCCAUUCAAAUUAUACCUAUUGGCUGAUGAACGAGCUAUUGGGUUGGCGCUGGUCCAGGAAUGUGAAGGAAAAUAAAGAGUAAUCUAUUAUGUCAACAGAAGACUCCUGAACGUUGAAACUAGAUAUCCUCCGGUGGAACGGCUGUGCCUUUGUCUAUAUUUUUCAUGCACCAAACUCAGGCACUAUCUGUUAUCGGCAGAGUGCAUAGUCGUUUGCAAAGAUGAUGUGGUCAAGUACAUGUUGUCAUUGCCGAUUUUGAAAGGGAGGAUUGGAAAGUGGAUUCUAGCUCUCUCAGAGUUCGACCUGAGGUACGAAUCGGCCAAAGCUGUCAAGGGGCAAGUAAUGGCCGAUUUCGUGAUCCAGCACUGUGGACCAGAAAUUACUGUCGAACCAGCUCCGUGGACACUAUACUUUGAUGGGUCUGCGUGUGGGGCCGGAUCGGGAAUCGGCAUCAUCCUCAUAUCGUCUCGAGGGGCAAGUUAUGAUUUCUCUCUGCCGUUUGAGGCGUCCGCUACUAAUAAUCAAGCGGAGUAUCGGGUUGUUCUAAAAGGUAUCCAAUUAUUAAGAGAGGUCAAAGCUGACGUGAUGGAAAUUUUUGAGGAUUCCAUGCUCAUUGUAGAUCAAUUAACUGGAAAGUCUGAAUGCAAGGAUGAUAUCUUGAGGAUUUACUACGAAGAUUGCCUCAAGUUAUUGAAGGAGUUCAAGUCUUUGAUUAUUGAGCAUAUUCCCAGGAAUUACAACGAAGAAGCCAAUAGACUUGCCCAACAUCCUUCCGGGUAUCGGCUGUGUUGACGCCAGAUUUUGACACGAGUAAAAUCGGCGUUAGAAGUGGAAGAAAUUAGGAGAUGCGGCGAGAUACAAGGGCAACGAUUGGAAAUCGGCCGAUUGGUGCUACAGUCAAGGAUCGGUUGGUUGGUGCUGCAGUCAAGGAUCGGCCAAUAGAUGCUACAGACGAGGAUCGGCCGAUUGAUCCUUAGAGUUCCGCCUCGCACGACCCCUGGUUUGGGAUCGGACACGCCCGACCCUCCAAGGGAGGAUCUCCGCCUCGCCCGACCCCUGGUUUGGGAUCGGACGCGCCCGACCCUCCAAGGGAGGAUCUCCGCCUCGCCCGACCCCUGAGGUUUGGGAUCGAACGCGCCCGACCCUCCAAAGGAGGAUCUCCGCCUCGUCCGACCUUAGUUCCCAGGGUCGAAAUGAGUCUGAGCCCUCGAUAUGUGGGUCCUGAUCGGUUACCCCCCUUGCCAAAGAGGUGAUCGGCCGAUUAGGAGGUUGGAAUAGUUGGGCCGAUGUGGGCUCAAGAAGGAUUAUGAAGAUGAAGAGGGGGUCAGCCCAUGAAGCGCGUGAAAAUAGUACGAAUCGUACUUGUAAAUAUUCGUUUUCUGUUUAAAUUUAGGGAUAGAGUUCUAGUCGGAUAAGAAGUCGUUUGUACGGGGCUAUAAAUAGCCACCGUUGUAGAUCUGUAAUCAUCAUCAACUCAAUACAACAAACUACUAUUUCCUCGUACUUACUUUCAAGCAGGCGACUUUACCAACACUUUUUCUCCUUUUUCACGAGUUCGUACGGGUUGGCGGGGCUGCAUCAACUUGACCUCCGGCCGAUCUUGUAAGUUCCGUUUAUCGACUAAAUUCUAAGCUUUAACUUCGGGCGCAUCGCUGUCAUUUCGUUUAGAUUUAUUCAUCAGUUAUCGAUAUUUACUAGAAUUCUAGGUUUUACCUGUUGUUCUAGUUUUAUCACCAAUUAUCCAGCUAGGAAUCGGUAAAUUCGGCUUUCUUUAUACUUCUCUGUCUAAUCUAUUUAUUUUAGCCGAUUAGAUCUGUUCCUAGUGUUGCUACUGUAGCGUUGUUUAGAUUACUCUAGCAGUUUUCUUUAUAAACGUUACCUGGUAAUCGGUUGCACUAUAGCCGAUUUCCUUAUUACGGCAAAUCGGCCGAUUCGCUGAUAAGCUUUCUUGAGAUCGGAACCUUAGCUGAUCGCAACCUCUGGGAACUGACACGUUUAUUUCCUUGCCAAUCAACAGUUCAGAUUGGCUGGCUCGCCGCGCGAACCGUACCAGGGCAAUCACCCGAACAGGAGUUAAGCAGAUUCUCCCGGGUCGUGUGUCCGACGCUGGGAAUUCGGUCAGCUGAUUUCUAGUGCCAACACACUUUUGGCACGCCUAGUGGGGCCAAUACAACCGCCACCAUGUCGAAAGCUGCUGAAGUCUCCGAAGAUAACAUCAUCGAAGUGACAGAGGCAGAUCUCAGGGACGACCAGAAGGAAGAACUAGAGAGGCAGACAGCAUACUACCGGAAGACAUGUCUGCAGUCCUUCAGUCGCACCAGGAGCGAGGAGACUAUCAAAAAGGCUCCGUUUCCAACUCCCCGCCAGAUCACAAUCACCGAGGAUUCGGACAAGAUGUCCGAGAUGGUCCAGCAAUCCGUCUAUCAAGCUUUCAUUGAUCAAUCCCCGGUGCUUUCUAAUACGGUAUACAAUGCCGUCAUCAGCUCCUUGGCUAGUGGUGUAUCUCAAGGGUACCAGGGGCCGGCAUAUGUUCCGCUGAUUAUGGCUCCGAGCAAUGCGGCGACAUGAAGAUCACUGGCGAUGCCCGUUCUUCAUCCACUGUUGGGAAAGCAACCUUAGGUUGCCUUCGGCCGAUAAUUGCCCCGAGUGCAACGGCCCGUAUCGUAACAAUCGGCCGUUCAGCAGGUCUCGCUCCAGAGAUGGGAGAUCAGAGCCGAUCAGCAGGAACUGGCGCGACCAAGACAACCGGCGCCCUCCAGUACGUGAUCGGCUGGGGGGCAGAAGUGACCGGUAUGACCGGUCGGAAGGCAGGCGCAAUGAUGGGCCGGGGGCAGAUUUAAUCGACGUGACCGGCCAGAAAAUAGAGUCAGCGUCCACAGACGACUUGAAUAGAUGGCCGAUGCUCGGGUGUUAGAUGAGAACCCUUUAGGACGCGAACUAGAAUGGGAACGCGCCAGGCCACGAACCAAACCGGUGAACCCCAGGUGGUGCCCCGAUGGAUUGACCAAGUCUCAAAAACGAAGAAUCCAACGUCUCCGCCAGUGGGAACAGCAGGAAGAAGAGCAACAGUACACGACGGACGAGAAGAAAGGCAGGUCUUAGGUAUGGCGCCCCAAAAGAAACGACAGAGGAGGCGACAAAUCAGCAGGCGAUGAAUCGGCAGCCGAUAUCGACAUGGUCUUCAUACUGCCGAUGGAAUUCAUGACUCCUGCCGACCAACAGGACAUGUCAGCAAUAGAAGAGUAGAUGGCGCAAUUGGCUUUGGAGCCAAUGACAGCCACAUUCGAGAAGCCCGAAGAAGACAAACGGCAACACCUGAAAGCGUUGUUUCUUAAAGGGCAUGUCAACGGCCGACCCAUCACCAGAUUACUGGUAGACAGAGGGGCUGCAGUCAACAUCAUGCCGUACGCCAUGUUCCGGAAGCUAGGGAAGAGCAAUGAUGACCUGACCAAGACAGACAUGAUGCUCAAGGACUUCGAGGGCAACGUAUCCCCCGCUCACGGCGCUCUCUGCGUCGACCUCACCAUCGGCAGUAAGACCCUUCCUACUACUUUCUUUAUUAUUAAUGGCAAGGGGUCCUACAACAUGCUACUCGGCCGAGACUGGAUACAUGCAAAUUGCUGUAUCCCAUCUACAAUGCAUCAAUGCCUCGUAUAGUGGGUCGGCGACAACAUUGAGGUGGUCACCGCCGAUUCCGCAUACAGCAUCGCGGCAGCCGACACGCAACAGUGGAGCUGCGAAACCGUCAAGUGCAUAUCCGGGAGAGUAUGGGAUACUGACUUCUUGAAGGUGUCCGAUUUUGGCCUACAGCCGAUCCGAGCAGUCGGCUCUGAGGACUCAGAUUAAAUGGAUCAGUUCACCCGAGAAGAUGGGAAGCUGGGACAUGGGUUCACGUCGGCCGAUUCAUUAGAAAUGAUAGACUUAGGCGAUGGCACCAUACCAAGGCCGACAUAUAUUAGUGCAAAUUUAGAUCCGGAAUACAAAUGUAAACUGACAAGUUUGUUAAGAGAACUUAAGGAUUGCUUUGCUUGGGAAUAUCAUGAGAUGCCCGGAUUAGACCGAUCUAUCGUUGAACAUCGGUUACCCAUAAAGCCAGGGUAUCGGCCGUAUCAACAGCCUGCACGGCGGUGCAAUCCUAAAAUCCUACCGGACAUAAAGGCCAAAAUAACGCGGCUAAUCAAAGCAAAAUUUAUUCGGCAAUGCCGUUAUGCCGAAUGGAUCUCCAACAUUGUACCAGUAUAUAAGAAGAACGGAAAGUUACGCGUAUGCGUCGAUUUCAGGAACCUCAAUCAGGCCACACCAAUGGACGGAUACCCCAUGCCGACGGCUGAUGUACUGAUAGAUGCCGCCGCGGGACACAAGGUUAUUAGUUUCAUGGAUGGAAACGCUGGGUACAAUCAGAUACUUAUGGCCGAAGAAGACAUAUCUAAAACGGCCUUCAGAUGCCCGGGUCACCUUGGUUUAUUCGAGUGGGUGGUAAUGACUUUCGGCUUGAAAAAUGUCGGCGCUACGUAUCAGAGAGUCAUGAACUACAUAUUCCACAAACUUAUCGGCAUACUAGUAGAAAUCUACAUCGACGACGUCGUAGUCAAGUCAAAAGGACACCAGGAGCAUCUGGCCGAUUUACGACAGGUGUUGGAAUGCACUAAGAAACAUGGGCUGAAGAUGAACCCGAAUAAGUGUGCCUUCGGCGUAUCCGCCGGACAAUUCUUAGGAUUCAUGGUGCACGAGCGGGGAAUAGAAAUCAAUCAGAAGACUAUAGCGGCCAUCAACAAAAUUGUGGCCCCGCAGAAUAAAACUGAGCUGCAAUCUCUAAUCGACAAGAUGAAUUUCAUCAGGAGGUUCAUAUCUAAUUUGUCUGGGCGAAUCCAAGCCUUCACACCAUUAUUAAAGUUGAAGCCCGACCAGGAGUUCGUAUGGGGGGAAGAGCAACGCAAGGCAUUGGAAGAUAUCAAGCAGUACUUGGUCUCACCACCGGUAUUGGUCCCUCCUCAAACUGGUAAGCCGUUUAAACUAUAUUUAUCAGCCGAUGAACGAGCUAUUGGGUCGGCUCUGGUCCAGGAGUUCGAGGGAAAGGAACGAGUAAUUUAUUAUGUCAGUAGAAGACUUCUGGACGCCGAAACAAGGUAUCCUCCAGUGGAGCGGUUGUGCCUAUGCCUUUACUUCUCAUGUACCAAACUCAGGCACUAUUUGCUAUCAGCGGAAUGUGUGGUCGUAUGCAAGGACGACGUGGUAAAAUACAUGCUGUCACUGCCGAUUUUGAAAGGAUGGAUCGAAAAAUGGAUCUUGGCUUUGUCGGAGUUUGACCUUCGAUAUGAAUCGGCAAAAGCCGUUAAGGGUCAGGUCAUGGCCGAUUUCGUUGCCCAGCACUGCGGGCCAGAGGCUACCUUCGUAGAACCAGUACCUUGGACCUUAUACUUUGAUGGAUCGUCAUGUGGGGCCGGAUCAGGAAUCGGCAUCGUCCUCAUAUCGCCUCGGGGGGCAAGCUAUGAUUUCUCUCUACCGAUAGAAGCAUCCACCACUAACAAUCAAGCAGAGUACUGAGCUGUACUGAAGGGAUUACAAUUGCUAAGGGAAGUCAAAGCUGAUUCCGUCGAAAUUUUUGGGGAUUCCAUGCUUAUCGUGGAUCAGUUAACAGGGAAAUCCGAGUGCAAGGACGAUGUAUUGAGGAUUUAUUACGAAGAUUGCCUCCUGCUUCUGAAAGAAUUCAAGUCGGCAGUUAUCGAGCACAUCCCAAGGAAUCACAACGAGGAUGCCAACAAGCUCGCCCAACACGCAUCUGGGUAUCGGCCGAUUCAAGGCGCCUUGGCUCUAGAGCUCGCGGCCAAUGACUGGCGAAAGGAGAUUGCCGAUUACCUGAAAGAUCCGUCUAAGAAAGUGGAUCGGCGGGUAUGUUUUCAUGCUACCAAAUAUGUGCUACUGGAAGACGACUUGUUCUACCGAACAAUUGAUGGCGUCCUACUCAAGUGUCUAGGAACGGAGGAGGCUAAGACUCUGAUGGGAGAAAUCCAUGAAGGAGUGUGUGGAGCCCACCAAUCGGCACAUAAGAUGAAAUGGAUGAUUAGGAAUAAUGGGUAUUACUGGCCGACGAUCCUCGAAGAUUGCUUCAAAUAUUAUAAAGGAUGUCAGGAUUGUCAGAAAUUCGGGAAUGUCCAACGUGCGCCCGCAUCGGCCAUGAAUCCCAUUAUCAAACCAUGGCCGUUCAGAGGUUGGGGGAUAGACCUCAUCGGCCAAAUUUAUCCUCCGUCAAGCAAAGGGCACAAGUUCAUUCUGGUGGCCACUGAUUAUUUCACCAAGUGGGUGGAGGCAAUUCCGUUAAGGGCCGUGACAUCGGCUGCUAUGGUUGACUUCGUAAGAGACCAUAUCGUCUACCGUUUCGGCAUCCCCCAGACUAUCACGACCGAUCAAGGGACAAUGUUUACAUCAGGAGAAUUCGAGGAGUUCACAGCCGACAUGGGAAUCAAAUUAUUAAACUCCUCUCCGUAUUAUGCCCAAGCUAAUGGCCAGGUCGAAUCUUCCAACAAGGGGAUAAUUAAGUUAAUCAAGAGGAAGAUAGAGGAGCAGCCGAAAAAGUGGCAUCUAUGUCUGACUGAAGCUCUAUGGGCAUACAGGAUGGCUUGCCAUGGGGCCACUAAGAUGUCCCCUUAUCAGUUGGUGUACGGUCACGAGGCAGUACUACCAUGGGAGUUGAGGGCAGGAUCGAGACGCACUUCGCUCCAGGACCAGUUAGCGGCCGACGACUACUCCUCACUCAUGAAAAGGGAACUUGAUGACUUGGCUGGCCAACGAUUGAGAGCUUUGAUAAGCAUCAAAGAAAACAAGAAGAAAGUGGCCAGGUGGUAUGAUAAGAAAGUCAAAGUCAAACAAUUCUCUCCGGGGGACCUGGUAUGGAAGUUAGUGUUGCCGAUCGGGUCGAAAGAUCCUAAAUUCGGUAAGUGGUCCCCUACGUGGGAAGAGCCGUAUAAAAUCGGCAGAUGUGCUCCAGGAAACGCUUAUAUUCUGGAAACAAUCGAAGGAGAGAAGAGUUUACUAGGGCUUUGAACGGAAGAUACUUGAAAAGGUACUACCCUAGUAUAUGGGUCGGAGCAUAAGGAUCGACCAUGAUGAACAACACACAGCCAAUACAAAAGGAUUCGUCUAGAGAAAAAAACGUAAUCGUCCAAAUCGGCCGAUGUAUUUCAUUCGGUACGGACGGUGGGUUACACGGCCGACAAGGUACAAGUUGCCCUUAGAACAAAAAAAAAUUAAUCACGCUUUUUCUUAAGCUCUCUCUCAGCCCGACCUAGUUCUAUCAGAAGACGGAUGUACUCUUCUUUUAUCUCUUUCAUCGAAGCCUCCGCUUCGACUUGACGGGGGAGAGGGUGACUCCGGUCCAUGGCCGGGCGUGAUGUUCCUACUGCUGCAUCUUCAAGGACGAUUUGAUGAGGAAGCGGAUGACUUCUGUCGGCUUGAGGUCGCCGGUGGUCGUUGCUGUCCAGAAAGUCCCAGAUCCAUCGGAUGUCGGCAGGGACGUGCUCUUGGAGUUCGUCGCGAUGAGCUCUGAUUAAAUCCUUAUCUUCUUGCGACAACGGUUCAUCGGAGUGUACAAGUCCGAUGGCUCGUUCGAGUUCGGGGCUAAGGCGCCGUGGCUGCGGAAAGCAACAAUAUACAUAUAGCUGCCGAAAAGGUGAUUCCCUUCAGAAGAGCUAAACUAAGAAAGAGAAUGAAGGCAAAUCUUUUACCUGAUUAACGGAGGAAGAGGUAGAGGAUGGAGAAGACAUGACUGAAAGGCGCACCGACGUGAACAGGUCGAGGAAGAUGAAGCCGAGUUAGAAAGGUACUCUCGGAACGGUCACCUAGGCCGGUGUUUAUAGGAAAGGAAGGCAUGGAUGUUUGGUAAGACGCGUCCCAUCGGGAGUGUGAAAGGUAAUAAAUAAGGGGGCGUCGCGAAGGACGGUCAAAGGGAUCAUUAAAUGUUCGUACAAGAACUGCCAGCACUUUUACAGGUCACCCAGAAGGGCAUCGAUAGCUGCGAUCGCUCGACGCCGGAUCUGAUCGGCAGAGUCCAGGACCCGUUGGUCAUCCUCUGCCGAUCCGGGGACUUCUAACAUAUGGCGGUGGAGUUUGAGGGCCUCGUGAGCCAGAUGCUGCCUCUCUCGUUUCAGAUCGGCAAUGACAGAAGGGAGUUCCUGAAGCCUCUUCUCUUCGGCGUCUAUUGCUUUGGUCACCUGCUCCAUCUCCUUGGCAAGCUCUGCCCUUCGGCGUUUGAGGCGAUCUAUCGUGCCGACGAUCCCCGGGCGAGAGUCUUCCAGAAAGUGAAUCCGUUGAUGCACCUCUUGAGCUUGACGCUUGUACGUGUCUUCUUCUUCACGAGUUUUGGUCAACUUGACGCGAUCGGCCAUGUGGCGCAGGGCCCUAAAGACUGGAAUCCUCAUUGACUCGAUAUAUGCAGCUGGCGCCAAGGCCUCUUCCGCUUCUUCUGGUACUCGCCCGCUGACGUCACCAAAAAGUUGUUGAAUCAGCGAAGCGUCUUCUACCAAUCGGCCGAUGUCCUCUUGAAGAAGGGAUCGGAUGCUUGCGAGUUUGGCACGGACGUCAUCAGGAACGGAGCUCAAAGUGACCUGGCGAGAGGCGACUUCCUCAUCAUCGGAGAGUGCGACCGCAAACGAGAAAAGGCUGUUGUUGGGGGUGUCCUGUUCCUGAAAAAUAGUGAGUCAAGAAGAAGAACAAAUCAGCCGAUGAUGAUAGCAAAUCGGCUGAGUAAGGGUGAGAAAUCUCUUACCUCCUUGAAACGGAUUUCUUCAAACUGCGUUUGGGAGGCUGUUAUCCUCGAUUCAGGGGCUGGUACCAUUGGUUCGUCAGAAGCUGAAGACUCCACCAUGAUUGGUGCUUUGCUCGGGCCAGCUUCCCGAAAGAUGACCAUUGGUUGGUUAGGUGGGGCGCUAAGCGUACCGGUGACCUGUGUCAAAAGAUUGAAUAAGAAUAUUAUCCAAAUACUAGAAAAAUCGGUUGAAGAGUAGUAUACCUCGGCAGACGGAAGCGUGGGCGUGUUGAUGACCGAUUGGGUUGCUGCCGAUUGUUGUGAGUCCACAGAAGUGAUUUGUGUAGUCUAAAAUAAGAUGAGUCAGUAUAGAGAUGGCAAUCGGUAGGAUCAAACAACAAGUUUACCUGCAUGGCCUCCACCAGUAAUGAUGCAGCGGCCGCCCCAGCUUGCGUGACGACUUGAGUAUCUACUUCUCCAGCAGCUGGAAGGGGCAAUGUGGCCGAAGUUUCUGCCGAUGUGAUCGUAGGAGGGUCGGCCGGUUCUGUACGAGCUCGCACUCGGCGACUGGUCUUCUUGGUAACCUUCUUCUGCGCCUGCUUCGAUCGGCCGGCAAUCACAUCCACGGAAGGGGCAUCGUAGCCGAUAAGGGGGAAGAUGGUGUAUAGGUGAUGGUCCUCUAUCGGCCGGCCACUCCGACUGUGUGUUGGGGGAACGCAGUUUUCAGACUGAAGCAACAGCAAGAUGUUAGUGUACAUAUUUAACCGCAUUAAUAAAGGAAUGAAAAUCAGUUAGGGAAAAAAAAUACCUCGGUGUUCGGAUCGAUGUUGGCUGGAUCCAGGAGGUUGCAGUAUGUCGAUGCGGAGGCACAGAAUAGGUACUGUUUUCAUUCGGCCCACCAUAGCUUGAAUGGUUGGACAACAAAGGGGGCUACUAUCCAGUCAUUCAAGUCUAUGGUACUGGAGUCUGGUAUCCGGUCUCGCAGCCGACUAUAGUCAAGACCCUUGGUGAGCUCAUCUCUGAACUUUGCUCGGCCGACGAAGUAUGCCUGAAUCGGCAGUUGACCCAUGCCGAAUUGCCGAGCUGCAACGGAGGGAUUGUAGAAUUCAUAUGUAGGGGCAUCCUUUCCUGAGAAGAAGUUGGCCGGUAAGAUCCCCGGUUUAAUUAGUUCAUCUGUGAGAUCUUCGUCGAAUCAGCCGGUGGUUGAGUCGAAGCAAGAAGGGAGUUCAAAGAUUGGGUCAUCUCUCCAAUAAGGAAACCAGACGGUUGCAUCUUCAUUGAAGCCGUUAUAAAAACACUGGAAGUAUUCGGCCACCUUGGUAGCAGAGUACGAGCAACCAGAGAAGGCCGAUGCCGCUUCGCCGAAAGACAUACACCGGCGUCGGACAGUGAGAUUCUCUGCCGAUUCGACGCUGGGGAAUGUCAUGUGUUCCACUCGCUGCUGAGAGAUCUCGCUCAUGUACAAGUUCAGCCAUAAGUUAAUGAACCACCAGGGUCCACCUGGGUUUCCAAUUGGCUACCCUUGGGAUAGCUUGAUGCCGAUUUGGUGAAGCAUGUGGUAGGCUGCUCCCAGUAAGUGCUUUCCAAGAGGAACAGAAGUCCCUAUUGAUAAUGCUUCGGCCAGAGCUUGGGUAUUGGUAGAUGGACCAGCUGCUCUCCCACAGAAGAAGUGCUUCUCUAGCCACAUCAUCAGGAAGGCCGUGUGCUCUCUGUUGUCGACAGAUCCGGCCCUUUUGUUGCAUCUGAUGAAACCUUUCCACCUGCCGAUUCCCCUUGUGUCCAGCCGAUGUGAUGUUGCGGUUAUAAGGCGGAAAGGGGUGUCCGGGGAAGAAAUAUCCAGGCCGGUCAGGAAGACUACAUCGGCCAAUGUGGGGGUCAUGGGUCCGUGUCCAAACAGGAAUGCGUUGAGAGCAUUGGACCAGAAGUAAGAAGCUGCCACCACUAAUGGCUCAUUCCGUUCCAUUUGGGACAAAGAUAGAUCGAUGCAUUGGCCAAUUUUGAGCUCGUCCCAUUGGACCUUCUUGGAAGCGGUUAUCCGCUGGUACCAUUCCCUCCAACUGGGAGUUUCGUUCGGCCAAGACCUAAAGGUACUCAACCAGUGAUCUAGGUCCAUAGUUGAUUGUUUGAAGGGGAUCCUAUGGGUUUUCCAAAUUGAUUAAGUCGGUUGGAUCUGGAUUUCCCAUGGGUCCAAGACAGAUAAGGCCGAGGUUUUCUGUGAGACGAAUGGUGAUGCGAUGCCUAACCGCCUAAAAAGGAAAAGGGGGUGCGAGGGUAAGAAAUAGAUCUAAAGUACAUGCAUUACUAAUAAGGGAAAGUUUCGGUAAUGACCUCCGGGAUGAAGCUCCUCGUAAUCGGCGGAGUCGCCGGUGCAGCUGCAGACGAUGAAGCUGCCAAUGGGAUCUCGGAUGAAGCUUCAACUUUCGCCAAUGGAGCUCCUUCUUCCGUCGAUGGAGCCGUCGUUAUCGCUACUGGAACCUCCGCCGAAGGCACCAUUUCUGGAGCUUCGCGCAUUGGUGAGGUGCCUGAAGGUGCCGCCAUUGGAAAAGUAGGAGGCAAUGCGAAAGGAAGGAGGCGCUGGAGAAUUGGUGGACUAAGGAAAGUGUUGGAGGAAGAAGAAAGCCUGUGCACUGAAGAAGAUGGACAUGAGCUCGUAAGGAGUACGGGAUGUGCUGAUAUUUAAAGAACGUCUGAGAAGGGGUAAAAGUGGAAUUUUUACCGCGCUGGCGUUUUGAGUUUUUCGGGAGUAGUGGUUGUCGUGGGCACCCGUUUCGAAAAGAUUGCAAUCAUCAGGUUGGAGACCGCGAAAUGGAAGGAUGUUUUCAUUGCGUCUGUUUCGGAUGAGAAGUUGAAAAGAAUUUUGAAGUAAAGACUAUGUUUUACUCCGAAACUGGGAGGCAUGUGUUGACGCCAGAUUUUGACACGAGUAAAAUCGGCGUUAGAAAUGGAAUAAAUUAGGAGAUGCGGCGAGAUACAAGGGCGACGAUUGGAAAUCGGCCGAUUGGUGCUACAGUCAAGGAUCGGUUGGUUGGUGCUGCAGUCAAGGAUCGGCCAAUUGAUGCUACAGAUGAGGAUCGACCGAUUGAUCCUUGGAGUUCCGCCUCGCCCAACCCCUGGUUUGGGAUCGGACGCGCCCGACCCUCCAAGGGAGGAUCUCCGCCUCGCCCGACCCCUGGUUUGGGAUCGGACGCGCCCGACCCUCCAAGGGAGGAUCUCCGCCUCGCCCGACCCCUGAGGUUUGGGAUCGGACGCGCCCGACCCUCCAAAGGAGGAUCUCCGCCUCGUCCGACCUUAGUUCCCAGGGUCGAAAUGAGUCUGAGCCCUCGAUAUGUGGGUCCUGAUCGGUUACCCCCUUGCCAAAGAGGUGAUCGGCCGAUUAGGAGGUUGGAAUAGUUGGGCCGAUGUGGGCUCAAGAAGGAUUAUGAAGAUGAAGAGGGGGUCAGCCCAUGAAGCGCGUGAAAAUAGUACGAAUCGUACUUGUAAAUAUUCGUUUUCUGUUUAAAUUUAGGGAUAGAGUUCUAGUCGGAUAAGAAGUCGUUCGUACGGGGCUAUAAAUAGCCACCGUUGUAGAUCUGUAAUCAUCAUCAACUCAAUACAACAAACUACUAUUUCCUCGUACUUACUUUCAAGCAGGCGACUUUACCAACACUUUUUCUCCUUUUUCACGAGUUCAUACGGGUUGGCGGGGCUGCAUCAACUUGACCUCCGGCCGAUCUUGUAAGUUCCGUUUAUCGACUAAAUUCUAAGCUUUAACUUCGGGCGCAUCGCUGUCGUUUCGUUUAGAUUUAUUCAUCAGUUAUCGAUAUUUACUAGAAUUCUAGGUUUUACCUGUUGUUCUAGUUUUAUCACCAAUUAUCCAGCUAGGAAUCGGUAAAUUCGGCUUUCUUUAUACUUCUCUGUCUAAUCUAUUUAUUUUAGCCGAUUAGAUCUGUUCCUAGUGUUGCUACUGUAGCGUUGUUUAGAUUACUCUAGCAGUUUUCUUUAUAAACGUUACCUGGUAAUCGGUUGCACUAUAGCCGAUUUCCUUAUUACGGCAAAUCGGCCGAUUCGCUGAUAAGCUUUCUUGAGACCGGAACCUUAGCCGAUCGCAACCUCUGGGAACUGACAUGUUUAUUUCCUUGCCAAUCAACAGGUCAGAUUGGCUGGCACGCCGCGCGAACCGCACCAGGGCAAUCACCCGAACAGGAGUUAAGCAGAUUCUCCCGGGUCGUGUGUCCGACGCUGGAAAUUCGGUCAGCUGAUUUCUAGCGCCAACAGGCUCAUUUAUGUCGCCUGACACGCGAAUAUGCACUUUAACCAAGUCAACCUGGUCGACCGUCGGAUUUCAUCCGAUGAACCACUUACACAGGAUCAAGAAGCAUCGCUCAAACGAAGGUGAGUAGCACAGAGGUUACAACAUUCCAUUAUGACAACUUAGUUCCACAAUUUAUUACAUCAGAGUUUCAGAAAUUCAAACAAGUUGCAAGGUUCGAAAAGUCGGAUAAAACAAGCGAAAACUAAACGUCGAUACAGGAUAUCAUGACGAAGUUGAUCAUGACAUCAAAAAUCCCUACCCUCACCGUCCGAGGAGGGAUCCCACUCGAUUGUCCAGCCCGGAGGGAGCUGGGUAGGCCAAGUGGUGCCAGCAACCAAACUAUUGACAUGACCUGAAAAGAUUAAGCCAUAACAAGGCUGAGCAACUAAUACUCAGCAAGACUGACCCGUCGAGUGAAAAGCUUUACCAAGACCUAGACAUGCAAGGCUUUCUGGCUCUGGGAUUACUUUGCCAAAAGCAUCUACAGUCGGUCCUUACUUUCAAUAUUUUAGCUUAAGUUCUACGUUCUUUAACCAGUCUAGAUUAGCAACUUAUACUAAACAAGCAUAAUUUCCAAGUAGUUAAAUAACAAGCAUCAACUUAAUCUCAUAAUCAUGUUUCAUCGUUACUCAGUGCAGAAUAGCGAUCAAGUAGUCCCAAACUGUGAGAGACAGAUGAAUCGAUUCGAAUUUAUUAACCAUGCAUGGCGAACCUAAUCUCACGACAUCCGCGCACCACGAAGGGUCGCUUCAUUUGUCAGCCGUCCCCAUCGAUCCCUUAGGCACGUGUCAGGGCCAAACUGCCUUUGGCGUGCAAUGCUCCACAGUCCCGACCUCUGUCGUACUGUGACCGCCACUGCACCCACAUGAUGCACCAUGGGAACGACGUUCCAAGGACAGCAGGAGUAUAAGCCACGUCCCAGUUCAGUCAGGUACUAGGCUUCCCCAUCCCAGACUAGGUAUGAGAUUAGUACUUUCAAACACUUGAUCACGAACGCUGACACGUUUCAACCUUAGAUCAAUUUCCUUUAGACAGACGGGGAAAACCACCAAGUAUCGAACAUAAGCCCGACCCCGUCCGUCAUCCUUAUAGUUGCAACAUAAAUAAACAUUCAACUCCUAUAACUCGCGAGUGAUAGGAAAUCACUCGACUUUUACUGAAACCUAAUAAGCAUUGCAACUACUCGACUUUAGCAACUAGUAUUCAAACAAGGUACUAAGUUCAUGCAUCUACGGUUUCAAUCAACUCCUACACACGUAAAUGCGCAAACAUAAACAUCAACAUGUUGCAUAAAGUAAAACAGGGAAGUCAUGCACCGGGGCUUGCCGUCAGGAAGAGUUAGCGGGUCCUCGGGGUCUUGAUCCGGCUCAGGCUCGCCUUCCAAGUGGUGAAGCUCCGCAGCGGGGUCUUCCUCCGGUGUCGGGUGGAGCUCGUAGGUUCCAUCGGCGAGAUUUGCUUCUAUACGACAUGCAUAUGCAAAAGUUUAGUUGGACUCACGCGUUUAUUCAACGACACAAGGCUUGGCUUAAGACAAGGAGUUGCAACAGCCACAUUCACUUUGACGAGGUUCAACUUUCAUGCAACUUCAAACGAAUGUGGUCGGUUUAAACUUGAGUUCGAGUUGAAUGGCGAUUGUGUACAUAUAUAGUUUUCUUACACUUAGAGUUGCAUAAAGAGAAUGAAAGGUCGUGUUUGGGUGGUUUGGGUGCAUUAGGAUAGUUACUUACUUCUGAAUGUUUUUAUGUACCUCUUUCAAUUUCCACUUAUUUAUCGUAUUAGAAUUUGUGCUUUCCUUUUAUUCCUUUAGGUUGAUUAAUUAACCAAAAUGACUUCAUAUCCAAACAGCAGCUAAAGGCACUGAUAAAAUUACAACACCUCACUUAAGCCAUAGCUGGGUUACUCUAAAAUUUUGGGGGCCAUUGGAUGACUUAAAAAGGAAUUACAUGCAUUUUAUUAUUAAAGGUAAAAUGAGCUUAACUUUUUCUAUCUUCAAAGUUACUAUGCAACAGAGGGUGAAACUUAACCAGUGUGUUAAGGGUAUGUUACAGGAUCUUUGGCGAAUUUUUCAUAAUUUUUGAAGAAGGUUAACUAUUUACUCUAUUUCCUUUUUAAUUAAACAUGCUUAGCAAGGAAGGUGUUUUUUCUUUCCGAAUUGCACAACAAUUUACAUUUUUCCUGCAAACUUCACAGCAAAACAAAAUUAACCCAACUAGUUUCACAUUUUUUUGAGCUCUGGAUCAAAACGUAUGCAAAAAGGAAGAAUUAAUCUUAGAUUCCCAAAUUAAAGUCAAAACAAUGACUUAAAGUGCUAGACCAGAGCCCUAACCAUUUUUCUGAGCUUCUACACAUAGAAACAAGCAUCACAGAGUUGGUUUUACAUUUUUCCCACUUUUCUUCUAUUUAAUAGGAUUAAAAAGGCCUAAACCAUGAUUAAAAGCAUAUGAUAUUAUUUACAACAGUAACAUGAGCAAACUUAUUUUUCUUAGGAACUAGAUAGAGCAAGGAUUCCAACAAAAGUGGUUUGGUAUUUUUAUGAUUUUUCUACGAUUUACUGGGCAUUUACAAAGUUCAACCAUAUUUCUACCUAUUAUUUAAAAGAAAAGCCGUGGCAAACUUGCAGGUUAGCCCCUGGGUCUAUGGGUUAACUACGCAGAGGUCCCUGAGUUUUGCGCCCAGGCCCCUGGAAAGAAUGGGGAUGAUGCAAUGUAGUCCCCAGGGCGCGCGCGGCGGCGGCGAGGAAAUCCCCGGCGGUUCGUCGGCGGGGAUGGGGCAACAAGUGGUCGGAGGGGUGCGGGGGCUCACCUGAGCUCGGUUUGGUGGGGUUGGGGCGACGGAGAUGGUCGGUAGGGAUCAAAACACGGCGGCGGCGACAGAGCUUGGCUGGUGGCGGUGCAGGCGUCGUUCCGGCGCACUGGCGGCGUCGGGGAGGCCACGGGCUGCUCGGAGACGUGCGCGGAGGGGGGGCGAAGUGGGCGGCGAAGUUGCCGGAGUACGGGGUGGCGCGGAGGGGUGAGCUCCACGGGAGCUUAGCGGCGGCGCUGAGAAGGAAGCAGAGGCGUGGUUGCGAGCGGUGGCAAAGGGUGGCAUUGCCGGUGAGGGGGACCCUUUUAUAGGGCAGCGGUGGAGCGGAGGGUCGAGGUGGGGCUCCGGUGGAGGAAGGAUAAGGCCGGGAGCGGUGCGUGCGCGAGCGAGGCGGCCAUUGGCCAGCGGUGCCAUUGGGCAGGGGAGGCGGAGCUCCGGGUGGUCUCUGGCCGCGAUUGGCCUCGAGCGAUGCGUGUCUGAGGCCUCCGGUCUGUCGGCGGGCGAAGCGGAGGGCCACCGCGGGGGUUGGGCGAGCGGGCGGAGGCGCGGGACGUCGUUGGCGUGGUGGCUUCUCCAGCGGGUGGGCGAAGCGCGGUUGGGCAGAGCAGAGCCGCGGCAGAGGGAAGGGCACGCGCGCGGCCGACGGUUGGCCAGCCCGGCGUUCGCCCCGUCUUGUCGCAGGCGCGGGUUGGGCGCCGUGGCUCUCACCUUAUCGUUGUCUCGCCGGGGAUAGGGCGCCGGUGAGCUGCCGGUGGCCAGCGGCCACGAGGCACGCGGUGCGCGGGCGAACAUGCCCUGGCGCGCGGGCGUUGAGGCCCCUUCGGGCAGUAAGCCCGACCAGCUUUGAGAGAUCCUAUCUCAAGAUUUUGCAACACAACUUCCAAAACUCUUCUAAACAAACUUGUUCAACUCUGGACGUAGUUCAAACUUGGUUUAAGGUGCUGGUUUAGAUUGUGAAAGGAUUUGGAGAUAUCUCAUGCCAAAGUUUGCCAAAAAUAUGGAAAUCCAGACUUAGCCAAUUUUGGCCGGAGAGGUGGAAUUUCAGGAACUUAGCUAUGUUUGAGUCAACUUUAGGGCAGCUUCCAAGUUGAAUUAGACAGAAGUGUUAAUAGAGGAGUUGCUCUCCAAACUGAGGACUUCAACUUCUAUUUAGGGUAUUUCUGGAGUUUAGUUCAGAAAUUUGGAGGAACGCCCUCGCCAAGAGGUGCACUCUGAGCAGUUUUCCAGACUUAGCGUUGUGGUGCUCAGGGGCUGAGUUGACUGCUUUGCUCAACUUUGACCAAGAUUUUGAACAGGUUCUGGUUCGAUUUGGACCUGGGUCAUUGUAACAAACUUGGAAAACACUUGAGGUAUUACAACCUUUAUUAAGAGCCUGACUUGAGUUUAGAUAUGAAAUCGUGAGAUAAAGGCUUGCAAAGUUGGAGGAAAACUUGAAUUCCACGACUUGGAGGUUUAUAGGGUUCUUUAUUAUUCCGGUUUUGAUUCCUGUUUUUGACUUCCUCCCACUCCGAAUUAGCCAAAGUGACUUUAACAAAUAUUGUUUGAAAUUAAAAGUGUUACAACUCUUAUUUGGGCAAAAUUUUAAGUUUGUAUAUAAAAUCUCAAGUUUUAUUUUAAACUCCAUAAAGAGCUUCUUAGGGUUAAAAUGGUCAUUUCACUUCCUUUACUUAGUGAUUAACCACUGGUUUAUAUUUAAAGCACUUAAUUUAGGUAGAGUUGUUACAAGUAUCCACUCACUACUUUACCAAAUGGGUGCAGGCAGUCCCUCUGAAGACCGUGACGUUGGCCGUCAUGAUUGAAUUCAUAAGCGAGCACAUUAUCUAUUGGUUUGGUAUUCCUCAGACUGUUACGACCGAUCAGAGAACAAUGUUUACUUCAGGAGAGUUUGAGGAGUUCACUUCCGAUAUGGAAAUUAAGUUGUUAAAUUCUUCUCCAUAUUACGUUCAAGCUAAUGGUCAGACCGAAUCGUCCAAUAAAGGGAUAAUCAAGUGUAUCAAGAGGAAGGUAGAGGAGCAACCAAAGAGAUGGCACAUGACUUUAAGCGAGUCUUUGUGGGCCUACAGGAUGGCCUGCCACGGCGCUACUAAGGUGUCUCCUUAUCAAUUAGUGUAUGGAUAUGAGGCGGUGCUCCCUUAGGAAUUGAGGAUGGGGUCUAGACGCACGUCGAUUCAAGAUUAGUUGACAGCCGACGAUUAUUCUCUCCUUAUGAAAGGGGAGCUUGAGGAUUUGGUGGGUCAACGAUUGAGGGCCUUGAUCAGUAUUGAAGAGAAUAAGAAAAGACUUGCCAAGUGGUAUGACAAGAAGGUCAAGGUCAAGCAGUUCUCGCAAGGGGAUUUGGUAUGGAAAUUGGUAUUGCCGAUAGGGUCUAACCAUCCCAAAUACGGCUAGUGGUCGCCUACUUGGGAAGGGUCGUAUAAAUCGAUCGAUAUGUGCCAGGAAAUGCAUACGUAUUAGAGACCAUCGAGGGAGAGGAAUUUACAAGAGCCUUAAAUGGGAGAUAUUUGAAAAGAUACUAUCCCAGCAUAUGAGUGGACGCGUAGCCGAUGAUAUAGUGUAUCGAGUCGUUAUGGCCGAUUCCUAUUGACUCGUGUUUAUAUAGCCGAUGCAGGGAGGCAUCGCCUUGAGGACGAAACCUCUAAUCAAAUUGGCCGAUUAUUAUUCGGUACGGUGAUUGGAUACAUGGCCAACAUGGUACAAGUCGCCCUUAGACCAAAAGUACCAAUACAUCUAUCGGGUUACAAUAUGAUUAACUGCAUUUCAACUGGGCUUUGUUUUUAUUGAUCUCUCUUUGGACCCGGCCUAGUUCUAUUAAGAGACGGGUGCUCUUUUCCUCCCUAUCCGCCAUGGCAUCUUUGAGAGCGACCUGGCAGGGUAGCUGAUGACUCCUCUCAAUUGGCGGCUGAGGUGGCUCCCUGGAGCUGUUGGCUUCGAUGUGAUCCACGAUCUUCUUAAUGUGGGUCGGAAGAUGGUCUUUAAGCUCCUCACGGUGGGCUUUGAUCAGGUCUUGGUCCACCUGCAUCAGUGGUUCCUCAGAGUGCAUAAUUUCGAUAACUCGCUCAAGAUCAGGGCUGAGCCGGGUCGGCUGGACAAACAGCGGGCAAUCAGUUGUCGAAAAGAAUUGGUCAAGGAGCGCAAGGCUGAUCUCAUACCUCAUUGACGGGGGAAGAAGAAGACAUCUUGGCGCCCGGUUAGGGAUCUGAAAAUGGUCGAGCAGAGUGUAGAAGGAUGGAUGAGAUACGAGUGCCUCUGGGAGGAAUGUAGGGACCCCAUAUUUAUAGGAGAAAAGGUAAGGGGCAACGGUUGGCAAAGGCAUCUAUUCAAAGCAGAUGAAUGUUGAGCUAAAAGCUGCGAAGAGGAAACGUUCAAGUCCGUAUUCACACAAUGAUGGCAAAAGGGGCAUUAAAUGUUUGUGCAGAGGUGUUCAAAAGAUAAUUCAAUGUUUUGAUACAUUCAUUCAAGAAGAAUAUUAAUGGCCGCGAUUGCCUACUGGCGGAUCUGAUCCGCUGAAUCUAGAACUCGUUGGACAUCUUCGGCUGAUCCAAGAAUUUCUAGCAUGUUGCGAUGAAGCCGGAUGGCCUCAUGCGCAAGGGUUUGCCUCUCCUGCUUCAGAUCAGCGAUGACGGUCGUGAGAUCAUGAAGAUUAUUCUUUUUGGCGGUUAUAGCCUUUGUCACCUACUCCAUCUCCUUGGCAAUCUCUGCCCUAUGCUAUUUGAGACGGUCUAUUGUGCCGACGAUGUCUGGGCGAGAAUUUUCGAGUACGCCGAUUCGGUGAUGUACCUCUUGAGCUCGGUGUUUGUAGGAAUCCUUCUCUUCACAUGGCUUUGCCAGCUUGGCAUGAACGGCCAUGUGCCGCAGGGCUCUGAACACCGGGAUUUGCAUUGACUCGAUGUAUGUAGGAGGUGCAAGAGCUUUUUCUACAUCCUUCAGGACUCGGCCUUUUAUUUCGCUGAAGAUUUGCCAAAUCGGCGAAGCGUCUUCCACCAAUCGGCCGAUGUCAUCUUGAAGAAGUGCUCGGAUUCUCUGGAGCUUUGCACGUACUUCUUCCGAAAUUGAACCUGGAGCCACUUGUCGAGAGGCUACCUCUUCAUCAUCAGAAACAGCGAUCGCAAAUGAAAAGAGGCUGUUAUUGGGCGUAUCUUGUUCCUAUAAAAGUAAGAGAGGAAGGAACGGAUUAGCCGACAGUAGUGGGAAAUCGGUCGGAUUGGAUGUCGAAGGCCCUUACCUGUUUAAAAUGAAUUUUCUUCUGUUUGUGUUUGGGGGAUUGCUACCCUUGUCUCAGGAAUCAGCAUGGUUGGCUCGUCAGAAGAAGAAGACUCGACGGUGAUCGACGUUGUGUUUGGACCGGCUUCCUGAAAGUAACAAAAGGAGAGUCUCUAUAAGUAUGAAGCAAUAGUUAGAUCUAAGGAUGAGUACCAGUUACUUUACCUCUGUGAGUCGUCCGGCCGAUGACUGUUGGAAAGGUAUGAUUGAUGUACCCAGAGUGGCCUACAUUAGAAAUCGGUCAUUUUUGACUAAGGAAUAAGAGACUUGAGUAAGAUGUAUGUUCUUUACCUCAGCUGCAAGGAUUGCUGGUGGUUCGGUCUCUGCUUGGGAUGCGACCGAUUGCUGUGAGGUUUGCUCCGAAAGAAUUUGCGCAGCCUAACAAAAAGUGGAAAUUAAUACUGAUAGUAUACUUGGAGAAAUGUGAAGCAUAUAAAGUUACCUGAACAUCUUUUACCAAUAAGGAUGCAGCUGCUGAUCCGGCUUCCGUAGCGGCUUGGGGGUCGACCUCCUGGGCGAUCGGCAGAGUUGGUGUGGCUGAAGACUCGGCUGGUGGCACCGCCGAUUGAUCGGCCGGUUCUAUACGGGCGCGCACCCGGCGGCUUGUCUUCUUUGAAGAGGAUAUCUUCAUCUUCUGCUUCAAUCGGCCUGUGAUGAUAUCUUCGAUUGACGGGGACUGAAAGCCGAUGAUUGGAAAUGAAGUAUAUGGGUGGCGAUUCUCUAUCGGCCUGCCACUACAGUUGUGCGUUGGAGAGAGUUGGCUUUCAGACGACAAGAAAUGAGGGAAAUCAGUGGUAAUACUGUAAGAGUACGGUGUCAAAUCGGCCAGAAGGAUUGGUACCUCUGCAUUCGGAUCAAUGUUAGCGGGGUCCAGAUCAUUACAAUAUGUUGUAGGAGAUGUGCAGAAGAGGUGUUGUUUCCACUCACCCCACCAUAGCUUGAAUUGUUGGACAGCGAAGGGGGCCACAACCCAGUUGGCCAAUUCGAUGGUACUGGAAUCCGGCGUCAAGCUGCACAGCUGAUUGUAUUCAAGACCUUUAGAGAGCUCCUCCCGACACUUAACGCGGCCGGCAAAAUAAAUCUUAAUCGGCAUUUGUCUGAGGCCGAAUUGCCGCGCUGCCACUGAUGGGUUGUAGAAUUCAUAGGUUGGGGAGUCUUUUCCUGAGAAGAAGUUUGCUGGUAGGAUCCCAGGCUUGAUCAAAGUAUCCAUAAGCUCAUUAUCGAAGUAAUUGAUGGUUGAAUUGAAGCAGUCGGGGUUUUCAAAGAGUGGCUCAAUUCUCUGAUAUGGGUACCAGCUUGUAGUUUCUUCAUUGAAGCCGAUAUAGAAGCAUCUGAAAUACUCAGUUGUAUUUGUGGGGGUAAACUUGCUGCCAGGAGAAGCUGACGCUACCUCGCCAAGGAAGUGCAACGCCGUCUUAAUGUUGGGUUAUCCUCUGAUUCAAUAUUGGGGAAUGUCUUGGUCUCAACUCGUUCCCUGGAGAUCUUGCUCAUGUAUAAGUUGAGCCAGAUGGUGAUAAACCACCAGGGGCCACCAGAGUUCCCAAUCGGCUCUCCGGAUGACAGCUUGACUGCGAUUUGGUGCAUCAUAUGAUGAGCCAAUCCUAGCAGGUGUUUUCCUAAGGGGAUAGUAGAACCUUUUGCUAGGGCCUCGACCAGAGCCUGUGUAUUGGAGGAGGGGCCAACUGCUUUGCCACAGAAGAAGUGCUUCUCUAACCACAUCAUCAGGAAAGCUGUGUAUUCUCUAUCGCCGAUAGGACCGGUCUUCAUAUUUUUAUCAAUAUAGCAUUUCCACCUGCCGAUUCCCUUUGUUUCCAGGCGAUGGGUUGGUUUGAUCAGGAAAUUGAAGGGCAAGUCGGGGGAAGAGAUGUCAAGACCGGUCAGCAUCAGGACGUCGGCCAAAGUAGGGGUCAUGGGCCCAUGUCCAAAAAGGAAAACAUUGAGAGCGUCAGACCAGAAAUAAGAAGCUGCCAUGACCAAAGGUUCAUUCUUCUCCAUUUGAGACAGAUAUAAGUUUAUGCAUUGGCCGAUUUUUAGUUCAUCCCAAAGAACCCUCUAAGAAUUGGACAUCCUUUGAAACCACUCUUUCCAGCCAAGGGUUUCGUUCGGCCAAGAUCUAAAUGCACCUGUCCACUGGCUUAAAUCCAUUGGUGACUGCUUGAAAGGGAUCAUGUGGGUUUCCAGGUUGAUCAAUUCAGUGGGAUCUAGAUUCCCCAUGGGGCUAAGACCGACGAGGCCGGGUGCGUCAGAAACAGGGAUGGUGAUUUGCUGCCUAAGUUCCUAAAAAGGAUACAAAAGGAGAACUAAGAACAGAUCUAAAAGAUGCGUGAAUGGUGAAAAGUAAAAGUAAAAACUUUGGGAUAUUUACCUCUGGAAUGAAAGCCAUAGUCGCCUAUGGAGCCGCUAUUGGAGUAAACAGAAUAGGAUGGACGGAAGAUGAAGGAGGAAUCACCGUAGGAAUGCAGUUGGAAGAUGAAAGGGUGCCGAAAUGCGAUGGAAGAUGAUUCGCCGGGGAAAAAAGAGUUUCCCAGCUUGUGGAGAAGAAGCGGCGGAGAAUGCAAAUAUUUAAAGAUGGUUCGAGAGAAGGGUAAAGGUGGGAUUUUACCGCGCUGUCUGCACAAAUUUCGGGAAGAGCGGUUGCCUGCGAGCGCCUAGCUCGAAAAUUGUGAUCAUCAGAGAGAAGACCGCAGAACAGAAAGGAGCUUUCGCCGUGCCCGCCUCGGAGGAUGAGUUAGAGUUGAAAAAAAUUUGAAGCAAAAAGUUUCACUCUGAAACUUGGGGGCAUGUGUUGACGCCGGAUUUUGACACGUACUUGAAAUCGGCGUCAAAGAAGGAGAAAGGGGGGCCGAUGCGGCGGACUAGAAGCUACAGUUGGGAAUCGGCCGAUUGAAGCUACAGUGUUUCAGCCGAUUGGUGGAAGAAAUCGGUGGAGGCUGGCCGAUUGAGAGCCAAAGCAGUUUGGCCGGUUUGGGCCUAAGGUGGACCAGGAUGAAGAUUUGCUGAAGAGACAGGCCCGUGGGAAAAUAAUAACCAACUCGAAUAUGAGUCGUGUUUGUAACUAUUUGUUGUCGUUUGAAAUUAGAGAUAGAUUCUAGUCGGUUAUGAAAUCAGUUGCAACAGGCAAUAAUAGCUGCCUCGAGAGGCUUGUAAAAAAAUAACACACAAUCAAUAAAACAAAUUUACUCUUUCCUCGUACUUUACUUUCAAGUCGGCGACUUCGCCAAAACCUUUUUCUUUCACGAGUUCGUACGGAUUGGCAGGGCUGCAUCUACAUGAUCUCCGACCGAUUCUGUAAGUUCCGCUUAUCGAGUAAUAUCUAAGCUUUAACUUCGGGCGCAUCGCUGUUGUUUCAUUUAGAUUUAUUCACUAGUUAUCGAUAUCAACUACAGUCAUAGGUUUUACCUGUUAUUUUAGUUUUUAUCACCAAUUAUCCAGCUUGAGGUACGAGCUAUCGGCUUCUAUUAUUUUUAUCCUUUAUCAUCACAUAGCUGAUUAGAUCUACUCCAAGUGUUGCUUUUGUAGUGUUGUUUAGGUUGCUCUAGAAGUUUUCCUUACGAUUGCUACGUGAGUAUCGGCUGUCUUAUAGCCGGUCAUCUCUAUAGUAAAUCGGCCGAUUCGCUAAUACGCUCUUCAAGACAGAUCGGAACUCUAGCCGAUCGAAACCCCUAAAAUUUAAUAUUCUUCUUUCCUUUGUCAAUCAACAGGUCAGAUUGACUGGCACGCCGCGCGAACCGCACCAGGGCAAUAACCUGAACAGGAGCUAAGCAGAUUCUCCCGGGUCGUGUGUCCGACGCUGAGGGUCAUCGGCCAAUUUUCAGGGCCAACAACAGCUUUUGGGCAAAAGCAUAUAGGACUUUUAGGGGGUGUUUGGCAUGGCUCUAGAGCUGAACUCCGGUAACUCCAGCCAAUUUUCCAGCCAAACACCCUAGCUCCAAAACUCCAUGGAGCUGCAGUGCAAAUGGGAUGGAGUUUUGGCGCACCUCUUUUGUAGCUCCAAAACCACCUAAUAUGAACCUCCUCGUGGAGUUGGUGGGUAAUUAACCAUCAAUGCCACUGAUUAAAAUAAAAAUGAUUCACUUCUAUUUUCUCUCGAGACCCCUCCCCGCGCCGCCCGAGGCCUCCUGAUGCCGCUCUCCUGCGCCGCCGCCUAGCGCCGCCGACAGCUGCUGUCGCCGUCCGUGCCCCGCGUCCUGCGGGCUACCGCCUCGCCAUCCCCAUGAGCCCCCUGCACCGCCGUCAGAGCCGCCAGCCGAGCCGCUGCGGCCGGGUUUCCGCCGUCUUGCCGCCUCUUUCCUCAACUGGAGUGAGCCAUCAGCAGCAGCAGAUUCCCCUCGGCGAGCCACGCCCGUUUCGCCGGUUCCGUUGUCACCCUGCUGCCGGAGUGCCGCCGCCACCGUGAAAACCGCCCGCCCCCCGAUCUCCACCACCACGCUGACCACCUCCGUCCAUGCCCUCCGCCGGUGAGCACACCCGUAGAUUCCCCUCGACCCCCUCUUCCUCUUGCGCCACCUGCCCAAAACACCACCUCGCCGGAGCGCCAGCAAGCUAGCUGGCCAGAGCCCCGGUGAGAGGAGGAAGAAGGAACCUGGCUCUUUUGUGAUUGGGUCCUUGAGGAAAGCUAAAAUCUUUUGCUCUGUUCCUUGCUCCCGGCGAGAGGAGGAAGAAUAGUGGGCUUCUGUGGUGGAGGGCGAGAUCGAACCAGGAGUCAGAAUGUCAAUCUACCCUCAAACUCCUCUUUUCUGGAGUUGGGAACACCCUCCCAACCAAACACCUUCAUCAGACAGCAGGUUGAAAAGAGGCACAUGAGGCUCAGCCGCUUAGGCCCACGGGCAAAAAAAAAAAACUCUUACUUUAUGGCGGAGUAGUUGCUGUUCCAGUGUGCAGGUAAAUUGUCGCAAAUGCCCUCUUGUGGUCGCGUUGCAGUAGCCGAUAAGGCGUCCAAACGUGAGGUGCACACACCUGAUCUGAUCCUCUCAGUGGAAACGGGCCAGGUCCAUGCAACCCAGGACAGGAAGGCUCUAUACCUGGGCCGAACGGUAGCCCAAGAGGCCGACAGUAAGUGAGCUCACGGGUGACGAACGGCCCAGAAGCCGCCCCAAUCCGGCCACCGCCACUGAGCCGGCUCGACUAAACCGGAUCGCCACGCAGCCCGACCGCGCAGGCGUACUUCCCGAACUACCCCCGGAGAUUAUCCAAUCGGACGGCCAAGCGCCACGCACUGCCAAAGAAUUCCCCGAAAUGACCCUACUCUUCCCUUUGCCUCCCUCGCGUGCCGCCGGUUCUGCUCGACCGGACCAGCGGUUCAGGCGCCGAAUAUUCGCCCGCGGAUAUUUCUUGCCCGGUGCGUCAACUCCGCCGCUAUAAAUACCCUCAUAGGGCGGCCGCUAGGGUUUUAGUGCUUCUCUCCCGGCGGCGCCUCCACAUAUCGUCUCUCAGAUCGGGAGGCGAAACCAAGGUGACUGACCUCAUCCCCUUUCUCCUCCCUCCGUCUCUGGUUGCUAUAGCUAUUUCAUCCAUGCGCUGUCCUUAUAGCUGAUUAGUAUUUUUACUAGUGGAGUUCGAGUCGUUUUGGUUCCAUUCAGUAGUGCUUGUGUUGAUUGGAUUGAAUCGGAGGACUCGAAGUGGUUUGUGCUGCUCGAAUCGUAAGUUUGUUGGGCUAAUCUCGAUGGAAUUUAUGUCAAUUCGUUGGUUUAGUGGUCCUUGGCAGUUCUCUCUGUGAUAGGCCCGUCCGAUCUGUAGAGAUGCGGUGGAAUCCUGGUUUACUCAAAACGGUUCUAGAUUCCUCUGUUCUUCCCUUAUUUUUUGUUUCGAUUACUUAGUUUGCACGUUAGGGGCCUAUGAAGUUUAUGUGCUCGGAUCCUUUAGUGAAACUGAUCUGUUUACUCAGAUGUGCUCGGAUCCUUCAGUGAAACUGAUCUGUUUACUCAGAUCUGCUGGUAGCUAACAGGUUCAGGGUAGUUAUGUUGAUGGUCUAGUUUUGGUAGUUUCAUUGUCGAUUUCUGUCCAUUUUUGUCAUGUUCUGUCCAUAAAAAUACUAUCUGUGCUUCUUCAUAUCUUGUAAUAUGAAUUCAUUUGACAAACUAUGCAUUUCUUUUAGAGUGUUUGUCUAAAUUAAUCUUCUGGUAUAUCCCUAUGCCAGUCUGUUAAUAUGUCUGUAUUAUAGUGUUUUGUUUGAGGUGGUAAUGUACAUGGUGCACCCUGCAGUUUUUCAUGUCUAAUAUUGAAUCUCCUUGUUUGCUGUAUGUAUUAAGGAUUAGUUUCACUUCAAAUAGCUUACUGCUGAUGCUUUCUUGUUUGUUUAAUAUGCUGUGUAAUCAUGUUGACCCUGAGGUUUGUAAGAAUUCCUCUUAUUUGAUUAUUGCAUGGAUUAGUGUCCUGAAGGAUAUGGCUCCUUUGUACAAUUAAGAUAAUUCACUUUUUUUUCUCAACUUUUAUAUGCUUACUAGCCCAUUAGGUUGUGUAAACAUUAGAGUGCUUUAGCCUGGUAAAGAUGAGUUAAGCAUUUUAAAUAAAUUUUUGGAUUUGGUUGAUAUCAUCCUUAACACCUGCAUUUAAACAAUUUGUCUCUUUUGAUCCUGACUAUUACAGUGGGUGUUACUUUCUUUAGUCAUUCUGUGGUAUCAAAGUUUCUGGUGUAGUUGUGUAAUUAUGGUUUUGGUUGGAUUCUUACUAGUAUUUUCUACCUUUAAACAGCAGGAAAUUAUAUACAUAUUUGUAGUGUGAUCUUCAUAAGAAGUCAAGAUGGUGAAGUUCACAGCGGAAGAGCUCCGUGCCAUCAUGGACAAAAAGAACAACAUUCGUAAUAUGUCCGUUAUUGCUCAUGUGGACCACGGUAUGUUAAGAACAGUGUUUAAUUAAAUGUUAUGCAUACCUGUUCCUCGACAUUUUUCAGGCUUUUCAAUUUUAGCAAUUGUUUUUUUUCAGUAUUAAAUCUCUGAAUUGUUCUUGCCAGUGAAUGCGAUUCAUGCUGCGUUAGCUAUCACAGACCUAUUUUACAUAUGUAGAAAUAUUCAUUUCAUGUUGGAAAUAGGCUUAUUGUUCUUUUGUAAUUAAUGUAUUGGUUUAUCUCUAGAUAUUGCAGUGUAUAGUAUCUGUUUACUAUGUGUUUUAUAUUGGGAUGUAUUGUUGUCUUUGUUAACUUGUGAGAGGUUGUCUAUCCCUAAUGUUGUACUAUUCUUGAUGCAUCUUCGGACUGACUUUUAAGUUCCACACUAUAGUCUUACAUCUCAUUAAUUCUUUGCAGGCAAGUCUACCCUUACAGAUUCCCUUGUGGCAGCUGCUGGGAUUAUUGCCCAGGAAGUUGCUGGUGAUGUCCGCAUGACUGAUACACGUGCAGAUGAAGCAGAGCGUGGUAUUACAAUCAAAUCCACCGGUAUUUCUCUGUACUAUGAGAUGACUGAUGAGUCACUGAAGAGUUACAAGGGUGAGAGAGAUGGUAACCAGUACUUGAUCAACCUUAUCGACUCACCUGGGCACGUUGAUUUUUCUUCGGAAGUCACAGCUGCCCUUCGUAUCACCGAUGGUGCUCUAGUGGUGGUUGACUGUAUUGAAGGUGUCUGUGUGCAAACUGAAACUGUGCUCCGCCAGGCUCUUGGUGAGAGGAUUAGGCCAGUGCUUACUGUGAACAAGAUGGACAGGUGUUUCCUUGAGCUUCAGGUUGAGGGUGAGGAAGCCUACCAGACUUUCUCCCGUGUCAUUGAGAAUGCCAAUGUCAUUAUGGCAACAUAUGAAGAUAAGCUCCUUGGUGAUGUCCAAGUCUACCCGGAGAAGGGAACUGUUGCUUUCUCUGCUGGUCUGCACGGCUGGGCCUUUACCCUCACCAACUUUGCCAAGAUGUAUGCUUCGAAGUUUGGAGUUGAUGAAACUAAGAUGAUGGAGAGGCUCUGGGGUGAGAACUUCUUUGACCCAGCCACAAAGAAGUGGACCACCAAGAACACAGGCUCUGCUACCUGCAAGAGAGGAUUUGUUCAGUUCUGCUAUGAGCCAAUCAAGCAAAUCAUCAACACCUGCAUGAAUGACCAGAAGGAUAAGUUGUGGCCCAUGCUUCAAAAGCUUAAUGUUACCAUGAAGUCUGAUGAGAAGGAAUUGGUUGGCAAGGCUUUGAUGAAGCGUGUUAUGCAAACUUGGCUUCCAGCUAGUACUGCACUGCUUGAGAUGAUGAUAUUCCACCUUCCUUCCCCAUCAAAGGCACAAAAGUAUCGUGUGGAGAACUUGUACGAGGGACCCCUUGAUGAUAUCUAUGCUACUGCUAUCAGGAACUGUGAUCCGGAGGGUCCUCUUAUGCUGUAUGUUUCUAAGAUGAUUCCAGCAUCUGACAAGGGCAGGUUCUUCGCCUUUGGUCGUGUCUUCUCUGGGAAGGUUGCUACUGGUAUGAAGGUUAGGAUCAUGGGUCCCAACUAUGUCCCUGGCCAGAAGAAGGAUCUGUACGUCAAGAGUGUCCAGCGUACUGUUAUCUGGAUGGGAAAGAAACAAGAGUCUGUUGAGGAUGUUCCUUGUGGUAACACUGUUGCUAUGGUUGGUCUGGAUCAGUUCAUCACGAAGAAUGCUACACUCACCAAUGAGAAGGAGGUUGAUGCAUGCCCAAUCAGAGCAAUGAAGUUCUCUGUCUCCCCUGUUGUGCGCGUUGCUGUUCAGUGCAAGGUUGCCUCUGACCUACCCAAGCUCGUUGAAGGUUUGAAGCGUCUGGCAAAGUCUGAUCCUAUGGUCCUCUGUACAAUUGAAGAAUCUGGUGAGCAUAUUAUUGCUGGAGCUGGUGAGCUUCACCUUGAGAUUUGCCUGAAGGAUCUGCAGGAAGACUUCAUGGGUGGUGCUGAAAUUAUUGUUUCUCCUCCUGUUGUCUCUUUCCGUGAAACUGUUCUUGAGAAAUCCUGCCGAACAGUCAUGAGCAAGUCCCCCAACAAGCACAACCGUCUUUACAUGGAAGCCCGUCCCUUGGAAGAGGGUCUCCCUGAGGCUAUUGAUGAGGGCCGCAUUGGUCCACGUGAUGAUCCCAAGGUUCGCUCCAAGAUCCUCUCUGAGGAGUUUGGUUGGGACAAGGAUCUUGCCAAGAAGAUUUGGUGCUUUGGACCUGAGACCACUGGCCCGAACAUGGUUGUUGAUAUGUGUAAGGGAGUGCAGUACCUCAAUGAAAUCAAGGAUUCUGUUGUGGCUGGCUUCCAGUGGGCCUCAAAGGAGGGUGCACUGGCUGAGGAGAACAUGCGUGGCAUCUGCUUUGAGGUCUGU